UUGACGGGGGCACAUAAUUAAUAAAUAUAUUUAAAAUUAUUUUUAUAUAUAGUAUAAUUAAAUAAUAAUUUGUUAAAAAUAUUGUAAGCUAACUAUAAUCUGUGAAAAUAAUUUACACUAACUUUUUGAACACAUGAAACAUUUUUAUAAAAUAACUUUAAGAAUUCUUACACUUCUUCACAAAUGUUACUAAUCACAAUAAUUCUGUUACACAAAAAUAAUUUGAAAAUAUAUAGAAAAGUAACCUUGAAGUUUACAUAUAUAUAUAUAUAUAUAUAUAUAACAAUAUGUCAAAAUUGUAAAUAAACUGUUUUAUCAUCAUCUUUAUAUAAACUAAACUCUAAAAUAUGAAAUAAAAAUGAAUAGAUAAAUUUAUUAUUUUAAUAUUAAUUGGUUUUAUUUAUUUACUAGCAGUUGUGAAUGUUUGUUAUAAUAAAAAUAUACUUAAAAUGUGGCACCAAACUUGAAAUCUAAAGAUGAAUAUAUAUAAAAUAUAAUAUACAAACUAUGAAAAACAAAUAAACAAAAGGAAGAAGAAGGAAAAAUGCUGCAUAUAAGUUAUAACUUGUAAAGAAAGAUACAGUAAAAGUAGACUGUAAACGUGUCAAACAGCAAAUUAACUGUACAACAAAGUGGAGAAAACAAAAAAGUAAUUAUAAAGAUGGGUGGUAUCGAACCAUGGAAGAAUAGGUCAACAGUGGAGCUUCUUUACCAACUAGUCUACAAAAGCAGAGUUGUUCCCUUGGUUGUUGAAUAGAUUUUAUAAAGUAGUCGGGGGCACGUGCCCCCGUUCAUCACACUGUAGAUCCGCCCCUGAUUAUACUAAUCCGAUAAUUUAAUGAUUGAUUUGAAGACGAUCAGAUAUAGCAAUGAGUUUAAACGGUAUCCCUAUAUAUUAUUUGAGAAGCAUUGCAAUAUUUUUUUGUAGCCACGUGUCAUCACUAGAAUGAUUCUUAGAAUCCGUAGAGAAAUAUGUUGGUCCAUCUAAAUAUAUAAUAAACUUUUUAUUAAACCACAAUAAAUACAUUAUUAAUGUGCUUCAUUAUUUCCUUAAAUAAAAUAACGAAAUUGCCUAAUGUUGCUAAAGUAUAUAUGACAAUUAAUGAUUUUGAAUAAUAAAGAUUUGAUAACAUAAGUGUGUAUUAUAAUUAUAUUUGUUUAAUUUAAAGCUAUUAAAAUAAAUUAAACAAUCAUAGUAACCAUAUAAUAAAAAUUAAAAAAACUUAUUUAUAUAUUAUAUUUUUAAUUUUUAAAAACGAGUAUAAAUUACUAAAACUGUUAAAAGUUUCACAUUCAAAUUUUGUGAUCUAUGAUUUAAAACUUUUAUUAUGACAUGAAACAAAUAAUUAAAAAAUAAUAUAAGUUGAAAGUCUCAUUUAAUAAGUAUCAAAAAUAAAAGAUAUAUAAAUAUAUGUAUCAUUUUAAAUUAAACUAUAUGCCAUAUAAAAAUACAUAAAUAUCUUAAUUUUGAAAUUUACUUUGAACAUUUUUUGAUAAAAAAAUUGAAAAUAUUGACAACUUAAUUUUUUAAAAUACUAUAAAUUACUUACACCAUUAAUUCCACAGUGAAAAUUUUGUUAUCACUAAUUUAGACUUUUUGCUAUAACAUAUACAAAUGAUAAAAAAAUAUGAGCAAAAAGCAUCAUCUAAUAAAUAUUAAUAUUAAAAUAUACCCCAUAUAUGUUACUAUCAUUUAAAUUUAAUUAUAUAUCAUUUCAAAUAGAAAAAAUAUUUUUUUGAUUUAUAAAAUUUAUUUAUAUGUUCGUACCAAUUUAAUUAUAUAAGUAGUAGAUAAUGACUUCUUAAUUAUUCAAUAAAUAUUUAUUAUUUCAUAAUAUGUUAUAAACAUAUAAUAUAUAAAAUAAUUUAUAUAUAUAUAAUGUUUAUCCCGCGCAAGGCGCGGGUCUUAACCUAGUAAAAUAAUAAGGGAUGGCUCAAUCAGGUUUUAAGUAAGAUUUUUUUUUUGUUUUGGAUUAAGUUUUUUGGGCUCAGAUUAUUUGUAUCAUAAAUAACUGCACGACUAAAUUUUAAUCUAAUUUUAUUUGAAUUGUUUGAAUUUUUCAAGAGAAUUUGGUUAUCAUCUUUUUAGAAAAAUUAACUAUUAAUUAACUUCAGUAUAAAUAUUUUUAAAAAAUAUAUAUAAAUAGAAGAAAAUCAUUAUUUUAAUAAAUUGACCAUUGAUAAUAUAUUGAGUAGAAGUAAACAUAUCAUUUUUUGGUAUAAACAUACAGUAUACAGAAUAUCUUGAGAAUUAUACUUUUAAAUUUAUGUUUCGUCUUGACAUAUUUUGCAAUGUUUUUGAGGUUCUGACAUACAUAAAUAUAAUAAAUUUGAUAAAAUUAUAUAAUAAAAUGAAGAAGAUAAACCUACUAUCAAAGAAAUACAUAAAUAAAAAUCACAAAACACUAAAUGUCAAAUAAAUGGGUAAAACUAGAAAAAAAAAUCAUUGAAAAUAUUCAGAUACUAGUGGAUGCAGUGACAAAGAAAAAACUAUGGAAAAAAGAAGAGGAUCUAAAUGUUACUUAGUUUGUUCGUGAUUUUUAACAUGUUUUUGUAUAGGCAUUAUCAUAUCUUUUCUUACGCGAUAGCUAAACAAAUGCAGAAUCGAAUGCGAAAUUAUAAAAGUAAGUUUUGUUUCGUGAAACGCUGCAUGUAAUAUUAUUUAUCGAUGGAUAAAACUAAUGGUAUUGAUUUCAUAAUACAGUAUUUACAUACAAAUUUUAACUAGAAUUAAGUUUGUAUUGGAUGAAACAUGAAACAAAUAAUCAUGAUAACUCGUAAUAAGUUGUUUGUGUUUUUCAUAUUAAAGAUAUAAAAUAAAAAGCAAAUGAAACUUGAAAGAUAAAUCAUUAAUUAACUGUCAGAAACCACUUGUGUUUUUAAAAUAACUAUGUAAAUCUUAAUAGAUACUACUAUUUGCGAAGUGAUUUUUCGUAUUAUAAAAAAAAAGGUUUACAAUAAAAGUUCAUAUAAUAAUUUUUAAAAUAUACAUAAAUAUUCAUGAAUGGUAACAACGACUAACUUUUAACAUGGGAGCUUCAUUGCAAAAAAAUCACUUCGCAAAUAAUAGUAUAGAUAAAUGGAUAAAACUAAUUGUAUUUUUGAUUUCACAAUACAAUAAUAUUUACAGACACAUUUUAAUUGAAAUUAUUUUGUAUUGAAUAAAACGUGAAACAAUAAAUCAUGAUAAAUCGUAAUAAAUAGUUUGUGUUUUCUUAUUAAAGAUAUAAAAUGAAAAGAAAAUGAAACUUGAAACAUAAACCAUUAAUUAUCUGUCAUAAACUAGUUGUGUUUCAAAAUAAAUAUGUAAAUUUAAAAAUAAAUUAUGAUAAAAAAUAUGUAAUAUCAAAAACUAUAACAUAUCAGAAACAAAGAACAAAUAAAGAUGAUAAAAACUAGACAAAAGAAAGCUUGUCUUCGUAAACUGAAGAAAUUACUAAAAUCUUCAUGGAAUAAUUGGAAUAGAUUCAUCCUAGUUAUUCAAACUGAAACAAUAGAUUCAAUUUCUUACAUCAUGAUUAUUUUUAGCUGGAAAUCUGAUUUUACAAGAAACAUGUUCAUACGUUAAUAAAGAAAUAUGUUCAUUUAAGAUGAAAAUUUCCUUGCAAUAACUUUUAACAAUAUAUUAAAAAAAUCAACAACUAGUCAUGUCCCUCUAGUAAAUUUUUGAUUUGCCCAAUGGAUGAACAUAAUGACAAACGGAAACAUAGUUGAAAAUAGUGUGAAUGAUAGUAUCUAUCGGUUUAAAAUUUGCAAAGGUAAACCAUAAUAUAUGUGGAUUUGAAAUUACUCAAUCUAUCUAAUUAUUUUUUAUCUCAAACAUUAAGUUGACACAUAAGAGAAAGUAAUGAUAAUCACAAUGAUAAUUCAUUUUAAUUGGACACACCAUUUUUAGAUAACUAUUUAAAUGAACCAUUGUGAGACACUUCCACACUUGAUCAACCCAGGUCUCAUAUUCAAUCAUCAGAAAAUAAUUUAUUUAAUAAUAUUAGGUAUUCAAUCACAAUAAAAUUAAAAGAAAACUAGUUAAAGAAAAUUUUGAUAUCAAAGAAAUUUGUUCAAUAUUCAAUGAUCUUUGUAAUUUAUAAUAUGGUUAGUUGUGUGAUAUGUUUAUCCAAAAACACAUGCUGUAUAUAUUUGUUGUGAGUUAAAUUUGUCUUUUUAGUUAUGAUAAGUUUUAUUCAUAAUGCUUAAUGAUUUAGUUUAAAAUAAUAUAAUAGUUUUAUUCAUAUUUCUUAAUGAUUUUGUUUAAAAAUAUUAUAUUGUUGUGUUGUAUCGUAGGAUUGUAAAACAGUUCAAGAGGAAUAUUGAAAAAUAAUAUUCAAUUAUUUUUUGUUUUUUCUUGUUAGUUCCGUAUAGUUGCAUGAACAUGUUAAAUUUUUUAUUUUAUGCGAAGAAAUGUAUAAAAACGAAAAAAACAAAAUCCUAUUUCGUGAUGGAUGCCAACACAAAGAGACACUAUUAUUGUCAAUAAAUUACUGUAAGUUAGAAAAUUCUUGUUAUGAAAAGAAACAUGUUCAUUUAAAGAUAAAAAAUCUCAAUAAUCAUAUAGUCCAAGGCAACAAUUUUAUUGAGGAAAUUAAAAAAAAAAACUAAUCAUUAACCUCUAUAGUGCAAUGGUUACAUGUAAUGAGCUGAACAAAAAAAAAUAGUUCAAAAUAUAGUGUGAAUGUAUCUAUCGAUUUGAAAUUUUCUAAUGUUAACCAGAGUAUCUAUGGAUUUGAAAUUAUUGAAUCUAAUUAUUUAUGUUUAUGCUUUCAAGUUCAGUGUGUAAUGUGUUUGUGACACUUCUGAAACUGUUUUAUAACUAUAUUUUAUUUAUUUUGUAUUCAACUAUAUAUCAAAGAAAUAGAAUAUAUAUAAAUUGAAUUAACACAUUUUUGAAUUUCAUACACUGUCAUAAUAUUUAUAUAAAAGGUAAAUUAUUAUUUUUAUGAUUAAAAUUUGAGUAUUUACAUAGCAUAACAUACGAAUUCUUAAUUUAUUAAGUCAAUACUAGCCAACACAAACAAUAUUUAUUUGAAUAAAUUUAAUAAUUACUUAAGUUAGAACAACCUAAGUAAUUUAAGUGUCAGAAAAGAGGACUAUAUAUGAAAGUUAAAAAAUUAUAAAUUAUGAAAAUAUUGACAUACAUGAAUACUCAAAAGAUAUCAGAAACUGCCAACAACAUGACCAACAAGUAUGAAGUUGAAACCAUUCUUAAUAAAUGUAGGAAAGGAAUCAACUCGUAACACAUGACUUAUGAUAACAAGCAUUCGUCGUAGUCUCCACAGCUUUGGAAUGUACUCGAAAACGACAAUACAUGUAGAAGUCGAAUACUAUGAUCAAGUCCAGUAAAAAUCCUUUUCCGAAGUAAUGUUAUUUAUUCAUUUUAGUUUUUAUUUCAAUCUAACUACUGAAAUAAAUAAAGAUGCAGUUAAUAAAUAUUUUAAAAUAAAACAUAUAAUUAUAUUUUUAUUUGGGAAAAAACCAACAUUAAAGAAAAGGAAAUAAACGAAACUAAUUGUUAAAAAACAAUAAAGCAUAUUUUUAGCAAAAAAGAGGAAAAAUAAAUAUUUUUAAUGAAAACAUAAGUAAAUCAACUAUUAAAAAUAAAUAAUAGAAUAUUUUCAUUAAUCUAUAUGGUGAAUAUCCUACUAUCAUACUAUAUAUAUUAAUUGAAAAACCAUUUAAGUAAUUUUUGCUUACAUGUCGAUCAUUAGUGAAGCCUUAAAAUUGUUAUAAUUUGAAUGAUCCAUGAUUAAAAUUUUUCAUUUAUUUUAGUUAAAUCUAAAAAUAACUAGAGAUUUUUUCCGCGCUUCGCGCGGAUUGUGACUUAUAAAUUUAUUUUAUUUAUAAUAUUAUUUGUCAGUCUUUUUCUUUUACAUUAACUUCUUGUUUUUCCAAUAUUAGUUUUUCUUAAUUUAAAUUUAUAUAUUUAUAAUUUUUUAUUUUUCUUGUUGUAGAUGGAGAAUUAUAUUUUUUAUUGAUGGUUUUUUGUAUGUGACAUAAACUUUUUAAAAUUUUAAAAUAAUGUUAUAUAUAGUACGAUUAACACAUUAAAGAAGAGAAACAUAUUCAUGCACAUUUUACACAGGAUUUAUAUGCAUAAUUUUAAACAUUAUAUAUGUAUAUUUUAUAAGUUUGAAACAUGUAAAUGCUUUCUAAAGCUAAAUACUUGUUCUGAGUUUACAUAACUUAUCGAAAGUUUUAUCUCUUUUUAAAUUCAAAUCACAGAAAAAAUAUCAAAAAGUCAGUAUAGAUGGGUUUUUUGGGCUUUUAAAUCAACACUGAAAAAUUACAUGAAUCAGAUAACAACAGUUUUAUAAACAACUGGAUAAAAUUUGACCGAGUCAAAGAUUUUCACACAAUAUGUUCUUUCUUCUUCAAAUUGCGAAGAGCCUAUAGGCACAAGAAAAAAAAUCAUAAUUUUUGUUUUCACUUAUAUAACAUUUUUUCUCCUUUACACACGGAGUUUAUUACACUGCUAUAAGCAAUGGAGAACUCUAUUCAUAUAAGAUUAACAUCUAUGCAUUUUGACAAAGAAGAAUUUUAGUCAUCUUUAGUUUCGGAAUGGCCCAACUUCAGUCAUAUACACUAUAUUUUCUCUAUGAUUCAAAUCUUACAAUUUUAAUAUAUGUGCAGACUUCCAUGUGAAAAAACGUGCACGCCAUCUAUCAUUCAACCUAUUACUUUUUCCAAAGUAAACACUAUAAUCCUCGUUUCGUUAGCACCAAAAACUAAUCUCUUUGGAUCAGUUUACUAAAAAAUAUGGAUACUAAUGUCAGAAAAUAAUAUAACCACUAUCAACCACAAAUAUUGGCACAAGACUAUUUGGUUCAAGGAACAUAUUCCACGUUAUGCGUUUAUAUCAUGAAUGGCUUUGCGGAGAAGACUGCCAACCAAGGAUCGCUUGAGACGUUGGGGGUUAAAUAUCUCAGGAACGUGUGUCCUUUGUAAUCUGGAAAUAGAGACUCACCGUCAUCUCUUCUUUGAGUGUUUUUUCUCUCGCUUGAUAUGGGAGCCUUUUGCUGCUGAAGUUUGGAUUUCUCCUCCUUACACUCUGUUGCAGCCUGGAUCAAUCAACCUCGCGUCAACGCAGAUGCGCAUGCUACUCCAGUCAUCAAGUUCUACUUUCAGUCAGCCAUCUACCUGUUGUGGAAAGAGCGUAAUGCUCGUGUGUUCACAACUGUCUUCUCACCUUCAUCAGUCAUCCUUUCCUCUCUCGACCGUAUGAUGCGUGACCGUCUCUUUUCUUACCCGGCAAGUUCUUCUUUCUCCUCUUCUCUACUUCUUUUUAUCUUUCUUGUAUAAGACUUCCUUAAGGCUUUUUUUACCUUGAGUUGUUGUUGGUUAUUUUUGUUUCAUUGCUGUAAUAAGUUGUUUAAAAACAAUAGUGUAACCUUUUAGAAAAUGAUAAUCUUAACAUCUUACCAAAAAAAACAACAAAUAUUGACUUAUUUAUGUAAUAUAUAUUAUGUUAACUUUAGUGAUAAUUAACACUAAACAACAAAUAUUGUUAUUAUGUAAAUAUACAUUUACCUUUUAGAAAAUGAUAAUCUUAACAUCUUACCAAAAAAAACAACAAAUAUUGACUUAUUUAUGUGAAUAUAUAUUUUAUUUUAAAUCAUUAUAGUGGGACGAAGAAAACACCAUAAUUUGUACAACAAAUUUUCUUAGAUUCAUCUUAUCAUACUCACCAUUUUACCAUUUUAAUUAUAUAAUUUUACAUGAGCUUCUUCACCCUCCCCGGUUAUUUUCUCUUUAUUUAUAACUACAAUAUAAAGUUAUAAACUAUAUAUAUAUUAUAAAUUAAUAAUUUAUUUACCCUUGAAGUCUAAUGAUUAAAAAUAGAACAUAAUUCAAUAUAGAUAUAUGAUUCUAUUAAUAAAUUAGCAAUUAUAAAUUUGAAAUUUGUAGAAAUAUCAAAAGUCAUAUGUUAGUUAAUUAUCUUCUAAAUCUAAUGACAUUUAUUUCUAAUUUUUUUUGGAUGUGAAUAUUUUGGCUGAGGUGGAUAGUCCCAAAAGCCUUGAAUUUAGUCCCUUUUAUAUAGUAGGAUAAGUGAGUUUAUAAAAAUUAAUAUUACUUACCAAAUAAUCUACAUAAUAUUACAAAUAAUCUACAUAAUGUUAAUGAUUUAUGGUAACUAAUUAUCAAAAUAUAGAAAGAGUAAUAAUGAAUGAUUUGUUUUUAUAGAAAUUGUAUAAAUGAUUUUAUAAUCGUAUAGAAAUUAUUCUAUUUGUAUAUAAAGUAUUAUAAUAACUAUUAAUGUCCUAUAAAGUCCAUACACGCUUUAUAAAUAAUUCAAAAUUAUAAAAAAAUAUUAUAAAAUUAUUUAUAUUUAGUUAUCAUAAAAUUUUAAAUUAUUAUAAGAUAAUGUAAGUAAUUUAUAGAAGUUUAUAAAUUAAUUUAUAAAAUAUAUAAUUAUGAAAUUAUAAAAUCAUUUGUAAAGGGUUAUGACUCUAUUUAUAGUUGAAUAAAAUAAUUAGAAAGAUUUCUAUAUCGUAUAAAUUGUACUACACAUCUAUUAAAUAUUAAAAUAAAAGUCAUUAUAGUGACUAUUUUGUACGUGUCACUCAUAAUUGAAAUUUAAAAUUAAUACUUUUUGGUUAGCAGUAUUUCUAUUUUUGUUUAAUUAAUUAAAAUAUAAAAAUAAUAACCAUGUUAUACUCUCACCUUUUACAUCCUUAUACCCUCUGGUUGUGGCAUGCUCUAAGAAAGCUCUUGAGUCCUUGGAUGAUGUAUAACUCGACUAUCUUUUACAUCAUGGUCUGAAUGUUGUUACAUUGAGGGUUGUGGUGUUAGAUAGAUAAAGCGUUUAAAUUCUCUGACCUUGCAAUGUCACAUAAUCCACCAGGUAUACUUUCAGUUAGAGACAUUGAGUCAAGGUGACACUCCAUAUAAGUCUGUUGCUGCUCUAAACUGUAUAUAUAAUUCUUGGCUGUGCAAACACAUGGGAUCUUGUUCGUGCUUACUAGAAGUUUGCUGCAAUAAGUGAUUCGUUUGGGCUGAAUCCUAAUAUUGACUCGUACAAUGCGUUAAUAUAUGCAUUUGGGAAGGUCAAGAAGGUGAUGUUUCCAUGUCAUAUGAUUGUCUCUCUUUAAUAUUUUUAUUUCUUUGGAAGAACUAUCACAAGCUUGUUUGCUUUGCAGACUUCUGAGCCUACAAAAGUAUACACUCAGCUGACUGGAAAAGGUUUUAAACCUGAUGCGGACGUAUUCAUUGCUGGUUGAUGCUCAUCUCAUUAACCGGGAUCCCAGGUCAGCUAUGGCCGUCAGUGAUGACAUGGUAAACCAGAAUUGAAAACCGAACCACUAUGGCAGAAAGAUUUGUGUUUUGAGAAACUAAACCAUGGUUUUUGGAUCAACAGAUUAAUGCUGGAUUUGAACCUUCAAAGGAGACAUUGAAAAAUCUAAGAAGGAGAUGUCUCAGGGAACUAGACUAUAAAAAGGAUGCUCAGGUGGAGUCACUGGCCAAGAAUUUUCAAAUCAGGAUGGGAUCAUAGAACCGCAGGAAUAUGCUUUUCAACAUGGAUUACUCCAGGGGGCAUGCAUAAUGCAACGAUAUACCAAAAUGAAUGGUUGUAAAAAAAAACCUCAGUUUCUUGCUACAGAGGAAUCAAACUGUGACCAUGUCAUCAAGUGUGUUUGGUCUUCUCCAUUUUUGCAGAAACUCUUGUGAGGAGCAAGGUAUGAAGCUUAGGUUCAUCGAAUAUUUUAAAGCUAUGGAUCCCGGUGUUUCAUUGAUUCACUGUGUAUACGUUUGAGUCUCUAAUCUGAUUUUUCCAUUACAUGGUUCGUUUUUUCUUAAUGUUGGAUACAAAAAGAGUUGGGUUUAGGAUCGCUAGUCUCUAUGCAGAUGCUUUCAGGCAGCGUUGAGCAAUACAUGUUAAAACUUUUUGAAUAUUCCUUGAUAUCCUUAUAAAAAAACACUUGAUGUUGGGUUUAUUACAAUUUUCAUAAAUAAAGCCUUGUUUCUUGUGUUCAAGUAGUCGUGCCUGAAGGCAAGUUAUACAACCAGUAACACUAACCUGAAAAAUAGAUUCGAAACUCAUCGAAACCGAACCGAAAAUCAAAUAAUAUAUAAAUACCUGAAAUAAAAUUUAUGUACCUUAAAAUAUUAGUUAUAUAUAGUGUUAAACCAUAUAUUAUCUAAAAAUACAAUUCGUAAACUUGAAAAUUUAUGUUGGUAAUAUAAUAAUACAGUACACUAACCACCACGCCUAAUGUUUAUUGAUCUUUGUAAUCCUUGGAUAAUGUAAUUGUGUACCGGUAUGGUUGAGGCUGAUAAACCGGAGGUGAAUUAGAAGGAAGGCGUUUCUAUGGGCCUUGAGAAUUGGCUGGCCCAAUUCAGAAUUAUCACACAACAAACAGUUCACCUGGGAUCAAAGACACGAAACCCUAAACAGACUGAAGAAAGGGGACAAGAUGGGUGGAAGAGAUGACGAAGUUGACAGAGGUAAAGAGAAAGAGAAAGAAGAAGCAGAAGAAGAGCAAGACGGCAUGUCCGUACUCUCUCCCUGCAAAGCUCUACCUUCCUCCGCUUCUUCUCUCUCCAAGGUUUCUCUCUUCUUUUAUCUGCCAUUUACUUACUCAUCUUCUUGUUUAUGUGAUCGUAAUAGUUCUUGGAUUGAUUGAUUCUCAGGAGCAAUCACAGGUUGAACUGGAGCUCACGUUAUUAGAAGCUCUUGAAAUCUAUCCUCCCGUUAAACUCCGAGGCAAGUUUUCUCACAGUUUGUAAAUCUUGAUCCUUAGGCCAAGAAAUCAAGAAAGCAUAAACCUUUUUCUAAUGUGGUGUGGCAGGCAUACAUCGUCACUUUGUUCUUUACGGUCUGAUGGAAUACCUCGGCAGAAGGUUUGUAUGACAUUUUCUUGAGUUCUAAAUUGAUAUUGAUAUUUGUCUGAACCUUUCUCUCAACUAUUUUCUGUCCAUAGCUUUGAUCGACAGUUCACAGCUGAUGAGGUUCUGCAGCUUCUGGAUCGUUUCUACAACAUUGAGAUGCUGGUGAGUUAGUCAUUACAACACAAUCAUUGACUAUUAUGUUCCUAAGUUGCUUCUGUUUUCUCUUCAUAACCUGCUUUAGAGUUGUGCUGAUGGUUUAAUAUUUUAUUAGAAAUCUGAUGAUGAAGACAUUGACAUUCUUAACCACGAAGAAGACUUCACCUUGCCGCAGAGUUACUUUGAUAAGGAAGAACAAUGACAGAAGAAAAAGAAGGAUUACUGGUCUUUGCUUCAUUCUCACCCAUCUUUUUUGUAUGUAGUUGGUUAGGUUUGUCCUCAGCUCUUAUUCUAUAGUAUGCAGUAAUACUAAUAUAGAUAGAACCAUCAGAGCAUUACUGAUUUUAGAGCCAGUGUUGUGUUUGUUUGUUUGGUUAGGAGUUUCUUAUAAUACAGUUGAUUGCUUUGUGUAUUAUAAAUAGUCAAAACAUAUCAGAUCAAUUCACAAUAACAUCAAAGACAUUUGAUAUAAUGAGAUUGACAACAAAAGAAAGAACAAACAAAAAAAAGUAAUUAAGAAAAAAGAACAAUAUAAAAUUUGAAUUCAUUUGUCUCAUCUCCCUGAUGAAGAGUUUAAUCUAAACUCAUUCAACUUCCAAAGCCGCUGAUCAUUUCUGAAACAAAGAAACAAAAAGGCAAACCACAUUAGCUUAGCACAACUUAGACUAAUGUUAAUCAGGUUAAUUACAUCAGUGGCUUCUAUGAUCUUGCAAUGUUCUUGAUUGGGUUCAUCAGACUUGACGUUGUCUUCUCCUAAAAACAAAAGAAAUAUAUUCAUUCUUAAUCUCAGAUAAACCAUUUAAAUCAGGCGUUGUGAUUAUGAGACAGACCUCCAUCCUCAGGAAGAUCAGAAGUCCAGAGGGUGAGAUUGUCUCUCAGGAGCUGCAUGAUCAAAGUGCUGUCCUUGUAAGACUCCUCACUCAGCGUAUCCAACUCCGCAAUCGCCUCAUCAAAGGCUUGCUUGGCCAAAUGGCAAGCUCUGCAACAUUCACAUUAGUUGACACCUGAUGGUAUUUCAUUUAGGUAAUGCUAUUUGUUACAAAAAAAUGAAUUGAGACCUUUCAGGAGAGUUCAUGAUCUCAUAGUAGAAAACAGAGAAGUUAAGAGCAAGACCAAGACGAAUCGGGUGCGUCGAAGGAAGAUCAGUGCUUGCAGCUUGUGUUGCAGCCUAAUCAAAGCUUAAGCCUAUCAGAACCUUUAACAAGUGUCAGAGACAGAACAUGUCUAGAUCAUACCUCAUAGCCUUUGAGCGACUGUUCAGAGGCUUCCUUCCUCUCUUGCUCGGUCUUAAACUCAGCCAAGUAACGGUAAUAAUCUCCUUUCCUACGCCAUUUUCAAAUCAAGUUGAGUUUCAUCUGCAGAUAUAAUGAUCCAAAAGAAGAUUGUUUCUUACAUCUUGUAAUAGAAAACAGUGGCUUCUCCUGAGGUAGCGUGAGGGAUAAGAUGCUGAUCGAUGAUGGAAAGAAUGUCUUUACAUAUAUCAGCGAGCUCGUCUUCCACCUUUUGGCGAUAACCCUUGAUGUGUUUCACGUUCGUCUCGUUGCCUUUAGACUCUUCCUUCUGCUCGAUCGACGACAUUAUCCUCCACGAAGCCCGUCUUGCUCCGAUCACGUUCUUGUACCCAACCGACAACAGGUUCCUCUCCUCCACCGUCAGCUCGCUGUCCACUUUCGCCACUUUCUUCAUCGUCUCAACCAUCUCUGCAAAUUUCAUUACCGUAACUUUGUAACUUUUGAUUCUUGUAAGAUAUUAAAGAAUGUAUUGAUUAACGUACCGUCGUAACGCUCGGCUUGUUCGGAGAGCUUAGCCGUGUAGACGAAUGUCUCUCUUUCUUUGUCGGAUCCUGACGACAUCUUUUGUCACGAUAAUGUGUCGGAAACAGAGAUCUUGGUUUCUGUGGUGUCGGCAAAGAGGGGAGAAGUAAGUAUAUAAUAAGAGGUUUGAAGAUGGUUCGCGAAUGGCGGAAGAAGACUGAAUCUCAACCUUUAGAUCCGAGGUGUCUAAGUGUCUGCGCAAUUCUUGGCUUUUCCUGCAAUUAUUUAUAACUAACUUAACGAACUUUUAGCUCCUUUAUGACGUCGUAUGUACGUAAUAUAAUAUUUUGAACGGUUGGACAUAAUAUAUCAAUUGGGGAUGUAGCUCAAAUGGUAGAGCGCUCGCUUUGCAUGCGAGAGGCACGGGGUUCGAUCCCCCGCAUCUCCAUUUUUUAAUUCCCUCUGCUGCUCAAGUGCUCACAGCCUCACACUCAAAGUGGUUUACCCUAAUUUUCUUCCAUUUAUAGUAUUUAAUUAAGGGAAAUUAGGUUGGAUAACUACAAAAUAAAGCAUAAUUCAAUAUCUAACCAAAAAAAAAGUACAUCCAUUACUUCUAUAAUAUAUACUAUAUUACCCUUCGUAUCCGGUUAAUGAAAUAUUAAAAUACCUUCUUCUUCUUCUUCAGUUACCAACCACCACGGCUCUUCUUCCAUCACCACCAUACAUUGUCUCUGACUCUCUGCUUCAUAUAUCGUUUUUAUGCUACGUUUCUACUUCUAAACUUUAUAGACCACAACGGUGUUAUGGUCGAGACGCCUUCGAUUCUCUUCUUCACAUCAUCGAUUUAUGUUUAGAUCAGUUGAAAUACUAUAUGAUAUUUUGUUUAUUGCUAUUCUAUUUUAAUAAUAUUUCAUACUAUGUACUAUUUACAUAUUUUGAUAUUUGGGUUAGGGUUUAUAUUUACCUUUUAGGGUUUAGUGAUUACUAUUUUGGGUUUAGUUUAUGAAAGGGGUUGAUGUUAGGAUAAACAUUAUCUGAUGCCCCGCUAUUUGAUAAUUUCAUUGUUUCUUCCAUAUCUAUUUAGUUUCCAUUCUAUUUAGUUUUCAUUCCAUUUAGUUUGUUCCAUACCAUUUUGUAAUCUAUGCUGUAAAAGGCCAUUACUUUGUCUCCAUCUACGACAAAUUUUUUUCUUUUGCCACAACGACGACCACCACGGCAUAACAACAGUAUCUACUGCUACAAAAAAAGUCAUUGUUUCUUCCAUAUCUAUGACCGUAACUUCCUCUUCCUCUGUAACUACUACCAUGGUCACCACCACCGUAAACACCAUCAUCGCCUAUGCCAUAAACACCAUCACUGUAACAACUCUUUUUAUUUUAUUUUUUCAUUUAGUGACACAUGAUCUUUAUGUGUUAUCACCGUCUACCGUCUUAGAAAAAGGAGAAAACCGGAAGAAAGAGAAGAAAAUGAUAGGAGAACUAAUUAUGUCAACAUCAAUGCCAUAUUCUUAAUUUUGCUCUCAAAAUUGGCUAGUACACAAAUUAACCCUUUACUUAAUUUAAAAUAUUUGUUUUUUAUUAACUGUUUUUCUUUUAUACUGUUAUCUCGGAAAAUUAUGAGCAUUGUCUUCGUUUCUACUUGGAGAAUGAUCAACAUCGAAAACCCAAUUCGGCGAUUCUUUCUUCUCCCAAGAGUUCACUACCGAGUUGACUCAUCCAGAAGUAUCUCCAACUACCAUAAUCAUUCUCCGAGAAGAUGAUUUUCUUUUCGGUAGAAAAUCUUAUCCGCAUAAAUUAAAUUAAAUCUACGAAGUUAUCUCAACUGAAAAUAUAAAUUAAAUAAAUAAAAAAAUUGUGCGUCUAAUGGAAAAUUUACAACAACACAUAAAAAUAAAAAUCAAAAGAAACAAUGAAACAAUCUAAAGAUAUUUCAACGACAAAAAAUUCUAAAGAAACAGUUUAGAAACUACAACUUGCUUUUGAGAUUUCAUGGAGGAUGAAGAAGAAAACAUUCACUAACAUAUUUUUGGGUUUUAAUUAAUAUUUUUAUUAUAAGUUGGUUAGAUCGUAAUUUUAUGUAUAAGAGGUCCACACAGAAUAGAAGAGACUGUUUGAGAUUUUUUUGUAUGCUUAGAAGACUAAAAGAGAUUAAAUCCUGAUUUGGCCUAGAUUUUUUUUUUAACUCACAAAAGGUUCAUUAACUAAACUAACACAAAUCCAUUACUUCUUACACAAAAGAACAGACCCACUAGUUUUUAGACCAUCAAACUAAUCUAUUAAAAUUCACAAAUCAUCAAUUAUCAAGUUGAACCUCCCAAAAAGCAUUUCCUUCUUCCAUCUCUUCUCAAAUAAAUGUUUUGUAUGUAUAGGUACCUUCCACAAACCAAGUUUGACACAAGCCAUGCAACAUGGAAGCCUAUCUGGAAGUUUGAGCUUGCUCAUUGAAGUUGAGCUAAGAAUAUAGUUUUUCAUUUGUUUCAUAGAUCUAUGACGGUGACAUCUUGUUGAGAACAUUUUGACAUUUGUCACUAUAACUAGUGUAAGAGCAGGAGUCUCAUCUUUUUUCUUCAAACGAUGUACAUAAAUUUUCUUUAAAAUAUAUCGAAUAGAAUCAGCUAAAAUAGAACAAUUUUCGCACAAUCAAUAUCUUUUGGGUGCAUAUCUGAAGGCAACUUUAGGUUUAUCAUAUAACGGAUAACUUUCACCACAUAAAUACAUGUGAUUGAGAAGAUACUUGGGAUUAACAUGUCUGAGUGCAUUGGUGAUGACUCUUGGCAAUAGAUCAUAUUCGUUUUGACAAGAUAAACAUGUUUUGUUGAGAUCCCAUUUGAUGUUGAUUUAUUAGUAUAAACAAAAAAAAUCAUACAUGUUAGUAUAAUCCUAUGCAAAAUUUCCUCUCCAUUUCCGUGGAGACUUUCUAUCUCUAGACUGAUUUAAUUUUUCCAGUUACUAACUAUCAUGAACUCAAAACUAACACAUUUGCUUCGAGAUUCACUGCAUAACAUGAAAAACCGAACUGGAACACACAUACACAUAGUCGAAUGGUUUUAUUUCCUUAUACUUGUGAAAACUAAAAUCAAAGUAAAACCAAAUCGAAGAUCGAGUAAGUAUUCAGAUAUCUGAUAUACAAUUAUACACAUAAAAGUAAUAGUUAUAUAUAUUGUUAAAUAAUCAUCUAUCUAAAAGUACAAAUUUAAUUAAAAUUAAUCAUUUUUGUCAAAAUAAAAUAAAAUCAUAUUUCUCAUUAAACAAUACAAUAUUUACAUAACUUUUUAACUGAAAUUAGUUUGUAUUGGGUGAAACGUGAAACAAAUAUCAAUCGCGAUUACUCAUAAUAAAAAGUUUGUGUGUUUUAUACUAAAUUUUAUAAUAUGAAAAGCAAAUGACACUUGAAACAUAAUUCGUUAAUUAAAUGUCAUAAACAAGUUGUGAUUUUAAAAUAAAUUGUAAAUUCCAAAAUAAAUCAUAAUAAUAUUAUGUAAUAUAAAAAACUAUAACAUAUCAGAAACAAAGAAUAAAUAAAUAUGGUAAAAAUUAGACAAAAAGAAAGCUUGUAUUCAUAAACUGAAGAAAUUAUUGUGAUCUUCAUGGAGUGAUUGGAGAAAUUUGUGCCUCCUUAUGUUCAAAAUAAACAUGUUCAUUUUAAUAUAAAAAUCCUAAUAAGCAUAGCCCAAAAUAAAACAUUUUAUUGAUCAAAUUCAAACAAAUAAUCGUCAACCUCUUGUACACUAUUGAUUUGUACAAUGGUUAUACAUAAUAACAUGAAGAAAAAAAAUUGGGUUUUGCAGUCGCUAGUCAAACUGACUGUCAAUACAAACCGUAAAACGGCCUGGUGGAUUCCAAUCAAAAAGACAUUUUGGCAUGUUAUGAUUGGAUUAAAAUGCAUGCCAUUAUUUUUUACAGUUAAUCUACUCUAAUGAUAAAAAAAAUAUUGUAAUCUCAUAUAGAAAAGGACACAAGUCUACAAAACAUGACAUAUUUUACACAAAAUCAUCAUAAAAUUUUGAAAACUAUAAAAUAGCUCAUAUUGUUAUUUUAAUAGCUUUUAAAUUUGUCAAAUUUCAGAAUAAAAUGAAUAACCCCACUUACAAAAAUCUUCCUAUUUGUUAUAUUGAUGAGAGAUGAUAAUCGACCAGAGAAUACUGAACUUGAGGGAUAGUGAGCUUACUAAUAUGAUAUUGGUUAAAACGACUCAAAUACUCAAAAAACUAUCCUGAUUAGGGUUUUCUGAUUUAGGGGAUUUUGAUUUUUUGACUCCAGCUUAAGCCUCUGAAACGCCGAAGUUUCAUAUUUCAUAUUAUUUGGGUCUAGUUUGGUCUUAUCCUUCAUUGUCUGAGCUUAUAUCUUUAGACAGGUAAAUGAGCUCCCGUUUAAACAUUCUAGACAGCUUGGCUUUAGCGAUAAGUCAACGUAGUUUGAAGAAGUUGUUCCACGCUAUACUUUUACCCCAGGUGAAUAUUUACUUGUAACUAUUAACUUGUUUGUGGACUUUUAAAUGUUAAUUUUUUAAAGGACCAUUUUCUGUCAUGUGACUGAAUCAUUUCUUUUGAAUGGAUUAUUUUAACAGUACUAAAUGAGGGAGGUGAAACAUUUGAUGAAGAUUGCAAAUUGCAAUCUUCAUUAGGAAUGGCAAUUGGGACAACCCGCCCCGCCGUGGCCUGCCCCGCUGCGGUCUCUAUCUCUGGCAGAUCUUUGCGGGUCAGCCCGCCGUAACCCGCGGUUCCCAAACCUCUACCCAAACCUGCCCCGCUUGCUACAUAGGAAUUUGCGGUCCGGCCCGUGGGUAGUGAAAAUGCAGUCUUCAUUAGUUCUCUUCUUCUCAUUGACCUUGAGACAUCUCAGAACUCAUCGCAAAUCAAACAGUUUUCAGAAAGACAGAAAAAGAAAAAAUGGAAGUGAUGAGCUUAGCUGCUCCAUCUUCGCAAAGAAAAUUCACUGGCUGCUUCUUAAGCGCACCAAUAAGCCCACGAAGAACCACAGAGUGGUACAAGGAGGAGGCAAAAAUAAACUUCUCCGAACGUUCUUUGAUUCCUUUCGAUUGGGAAGAGAAUCAAGGCAAUCCGAGGAAGAUCACUGACAAUGAAGAAGAUACUGUUGAUGAUAAACAAAAAGUUAAGAGUUUUACGAGAGUUUCCCAUGAUAGUUUGCCUCUGUUUCUCUGUUUGAAGAGAUCGUUACCGUCACUGCUGAUAGUAUCGCAAACAACUUGUAGUUACGAAACACGUUGUAGAGUUGUAGAGUUGUAGACUCAUCAGAGAGAAUAACUGAAAACUUCAACUAGAUACUAAUGAUGGCCUUAUACUAGACUAUUUAACUUUUGAGUUUUGAAACUAAUGAAUAUCAUGUACGUACCAUAAAGAUAAGCUCUAACGUAGAUGAAACUAGUAGCAAACUAUGGGAGAGAACAUUAUCAAACAUUAUAAGUUUAUAACUAUCACUAGUGGUAUUCCGGCGCUACGCGCCGGGUUCGCAUGUUUUAUUAUUAAAUGAAUUACGGUUUUAUAUUUAUUUAGCUUAAUUUUGACAUUUUAAAUAUUUUGAUCUGUUUUUUUUCUGAGAUUUUCUAUAUGUUUUUGUUUGUAUUUUUUAUCAUACGUGUUUUCUAACAUUUGUACUAAUUUAAUUAUACUCUUUCUCGUUGUUAGUUUUAGCUGAGUGAAGCACAUCGUUAUCUUCGUAUGAGUUUGAUUAUCUUUCCCUGUACAUUAGUUGAAAUAGGACUAAUGUGUCUACAGUAGGAUCUUAUCUUUGAUAUAUAAGUAUUUUAUAUAUUCAAUCUAUUUUUUCUUUCAUCUGUAUUUUUUUGUUUUUUUUUUGUAUGUAGUUUUAUAUUGUAUAUGUUGUUCAUAGUAUACAAUUAUAAAGAUUUUAGUGCCAUGUGAAUUUAGAUAUUAGACUUCAUAUAUUUUGGUGUUCAAAGAAAAAAAGACUUCAUCUAUCUUUAUUCAUUGAAUAUGUAAAGUCCGGUUUCUGACAUUGGAUUUGAUACAAUAACCUUCACUGUGUUAUUUACACCAUGAGUACACUUUUACAGGUUGUGGCUUAUAGUAGUAACAUAAGAUACCAUGAGUACACUUUUAUAGGUUGUGGCUUAUAGUAGUAACAUAAGAUACAUAUGUUUUAUAGGUUGUCACGGUGACAUAUAAAUUUUUUAAGUUCGUGCACGAAAUUUUUGCAUCAGUAUCCUAAUUAAUAUCUUUUGAAAAAGUUGAAAGCUCUUAUAGAAAAGCAAGUGAAAUUUAAUGGUGUAAAACUAUAAUACGUUUUGCGGCUUUGUUUUCAAAUAUUUUGCUCCUUGUCAACUUAGUUUUCUUAUUGAUCUUAGACCUAUAAUGUUUUCCAAACUCCCUUUUAGAAUUGUCUAUUUCCCCUCACAUAUUCUUGGAAUCUAAAAGCAAAGCCAAAACUCACCCUUUGUAACUCAGACAUCAAGUUAUAUAUGACAUUGCAACAUUACAUAUUAAAGAUUAAUAAAUUAUAGCUUGGAAUCGAGAGAGAUGGCUUGGAAACCAUAGCUUGAGAAUCACAAUCUCUCGUUCCUAGGUGAAGAUGUUAUGCAGCUGAAUUCUUGGGUAUAUGAGUAUAUUCACCCAUCAGAGUAGCUACAUUGCAGGUUGAUCGAGACAGAACAUUUAUUCAAUCCCAAAAAAUCUCUUCUCUAAAUGACAGCUACAUUUAUCUGGUAGUAGGGAUAAAUGACGCAACAUACAUCUGGUACGGAUACUUAAGCGGUGUUACGGAACUGGGUGUAAUCUAGAAAAAUCAUUCAGCGUCCCUUAUUAGAUCCGCUGCAAAGCAGAGCAAAGCACAUCAAAUCAACCGAUGGGCGGACUUGAAACUCCAAUUGUUUCAACCAAAAAGAUUAGCUCGUGCUAAACUUUUGUAAAUUUUGGUUCAUAGGUGAUAUAAAGAUUGAUACAUUGUUGGUUUCUGAAGUAAUACCUGACCAGGCAUGACUUCUCCAUUGAUCUGUACUGGUGUUAAUUCCGGCAUACAAACAUUCCUUGAAGUGAGAAUCAACGAUGUCCCUUCCCUUCCAAAAGACUUGUCAGCUCCAACACUAUAAUGGUAUGGUCCCUGAUAUAGAUUGUUUUGUAUAAACAUCAAAACAGAAAAUCAAAGAAGAAUGAAGUAAAAACCCCUAGAAAGGGAAAUGAACAUCAGAGGCCUUACUAUAAGAUCACUUCACUGUUUUUCCCAGGAGCUUCACCAGUGUUGGAACAAUCAUAGUUCCUUUUUAGGAAUUUUGAUGGUUGGGUUGCAGGUCCAGGGAGAGUGUAAAGGUAAACCAAACAGAGAUCAGUAAGCUUUGUCAUUCUGAUUCUAUUUUACAGGAAAUUUGCUAAUUUUUUUGUCAACGUGUAAAUAAAACAAAACGAUUACCUUGGCUGUGCUUCUCAUGUUCACUCCAGAACCACCAACCCUGUUUUGAAAGAUCUUAGAAACCCGAAAUUUAAAAGUAAAAAUAAACAGAACACAUAACUCUUUUUUUGUUGUUCAAGAUGCAAUUAUCAAGCAACUAACCAGUGAGAAUGACAAAAACAUUGGAUUUUAAAACUAAACUGCAGAAAGAGAGAUGAGGAAAAAAAGUUACUGAUAUUGAGUACAAAAGCCAAGAAAUGGAAAAACUAAUUCAUUAAAGGAGAAUAUUGUAUGGCAAAAUAAUCACAGAAAUGAUACCGAAAGAAUCUUUUUCGUUGGAGGAGCUUUUGAGCAGAGCUUAGUUUGACGACUUUGUUUCCCUGACAAAGAACAAUAGAUUUUGGUUAAGAACAUGUGUUAAAAAGUUUUGAUGAAACAAAUAGCCAUAACAAUUAUUUUGUUUCUCAAUUCCCAAAUUACAAAAUAUUGGUGAAUAAGAAAAAUGGUCUCUUACGAUGACUGGUUUCAGUAAUCUUAAAGGAGCAAGACGAUGCACAUGAAAAAUAUCUCAUCUUCUGCAUAUAUAUAAUCCCCUGAGAGAGCUUGAUAAUAAGGCAUUAAAGAUGAUGUAGUGGGUAUCGUUGAUUGAAAGCCAUUAGUGUGGACGUUUCUUAAACGCAGCAAAGGGAGGGGAAGCGGAACAGUAAAGUCUUAGCAGAGGAGAUCGACGGCGUUCUCCGUCGUAUCAGGCUGAUCAGGGUGGGGAGAAAUGGGCUACAAAUGAACGGAAAGAAGAUUUGGGCCAGAUAAUAAAAUUGUAUCAAAAAGUUGGUCCACUACCAGAAUAAAGUCAGAAAGCGAGAAUCAUCUAAAAAAGUUGUACACGUGUCCAGAUUUGCCCAUAUCAUCUUGAGGACGUGGAGGAAGGAGGAGAGAGGCAAGCCUCCUUUAUUGUAUAAAAUUAUCAAGCAACUUAUAAGACAAAUGACAAUAAACAGUAAGACUUUAAAACAAUCAAAGUUUCAAACAAAACAGUUCAUACAUAAAAAAAAAACAAAACUGAUAAAGACACGCGGGUCUCGAAUGCCCCGCAAACCCGCGUCGACCCGCCCCGCAUUGGCCCAUACCCGAAAUUGACCAACCCGCAAGACCCGCAAUAUCUCGGGCCUAAGAUUUGUAAACCUAAACCCGCCCCGCAGUGGGACUUUACGGGCCAGGCGGGUUAAGGUACCAAUUGCCAUCCCUAAUUGCAAAGGGGAAGAUGCAACUCACUCUCCUCGUUCUGAAAAGUGUUUUGAGCUUGGUCUUGUACCUCCAAGACCAGAGACUUUCUAUUCUUUCCUCUUGGAUCAACCUGCUAGAUCAUCAAGCCAUAAUUCCUGAAUGGGAAGGUUGUCUGAAUGUGAACCUAGGAUCUUCAGCGACAACAAAGCUUUCUGGUACAUGCGUUGUACCCAUGCCGGCUUUGAACAUGCCUGAAAAUAUAGAUGACAUAGUAGGGAAANNNNNNNNNNNNNNNNNNNNNNNNNNNNNNNNNNNNNNNNNNNNNNNUAGGGAAAGGCAGAGAAUUCUGUGUCUGCCGUGACAGGGGUUCUAUAAGAUGUGUGCGCCAACACAUCAAAGAAGUUAGGGAAGAAGUGGUUAAGAUACUUGGAUUUGAGAAGUUAGGAGACAUGGGCUUCUGUUAUAUGGGAGACGAAGUUGUAAGGAGCUGGAGCGAUGAAGAUGCACUAAGUUUUCAUGAGGUUGUUUAUUCCAAUCCCAUGACAUUAGGUCAAAACUUUUGGAAGCUGCAUUUUUGUCCCCUACUAAUCACGAGAUUGUUAGCUUCUACUUUAACGGUUUUGUGCUCAGACGAAGGGCCACACAGAACAGGUGGUUCAUGUUGGACAUUGAUAGUGACGAUGAUGAAUGGCAUGAAGGUUAUGGAGCACCUUUGGGUACUCAAUAUGUCAAGAAAAAGAAGACUUUGCUAUUGAAUCUCCUCUUCAUCAUCAAGGCAUUGACAAAUUCAAUGAGGAAGUGCAUCAACUCUAUCACCAAGAAGAUGCCAGUAUUAGUGACAAUGAUGAAGAUGAUAAUAUCGAUACCAGAGAAGAUGGUUACAAGAUGAAUAAUAAGUAUGUGGAUAAAUUUUCCCGGUGCAAUGAAGAGAGACUGAACGUGGAAGAUGAAUCAUGCACGCCCUUUGAGCUUGCACAUGAUGCGGUGAUCUCUAGCUAGACAAACUAUGCAAAGAAAGAGGAGAUUGGUAUUGGAGAUCAACAAAAGUUGUGUAAUGAUGCGAAAGUUUCACCAAAUGGAAAAGAUCUUUAACCAACCGGGAGCACCAUGGAGGAGAUAUUUUGGUAAUGGAUUCUGGGAAAACAAGGCAAUGAUCAAGGAACAAGUGAAGAAAGCAACAUCGUUUUCAACCACUUGCUGAAUACUAUGAGAUUUGUUGGGUUAUGGAGUCCUCCUAUUUAAAAGUAGAGAGAGGUUUCUUAAAAGAAAAUGAAUUAUCUCAUGUGGAAUAGGCUGUUGUUUUCACUUUUCUUGGGGCCGUCUUUUCUCAAAAUGAUGUUACCUAGAAUAUGUCAGAAUCCUUCUGAUUUGCACUUAGGAUUGUAUCUCCUUUGACCUUAAAAUAACUUUGUACAGCAAGUGUGAAGGCAAAGUCUGUAAAGAUGGAGUCUUUCUUUACAAGUAAGCUUGAGAAAUAUUCAAUGCCACAAAGUUGGGUUGUUGCUUUAGAAUAGGAGAAAAUGUGGCAGAGAAGACGAGCUAAUGAUGUUUAAAAGGCUUCUUUGUUGGUUGUUUGGACGUCGAGAAGUCUCUGUGUUGGCCCCAUGGUUUGUUUGUUAUACCCACUUAUCUGAAUUGAGUUUCUACUGAUUUCAGUUCAGUGUACUGAAAGAAUAUAUAUAUAAUUUUAAUUUAAGGAAACAAGAAUCCUUAAAUUAAACUUUCUGCGGAUUGUGCAAUUUCAAGAUUUGAGGGAUAGUAAUGAGUGGGCUAAAUAGAUCUGAACCGUCCAGUAACCUUUUAACAUAUCUUUUUUGGUUCCAUGCAUGAACUUAACAACAACAACAAGACACCUAAGAGAUGGAGAGAGAAUAAUAAGGAGAGUGCGUGUUGUGUUGAGAGAGAGGAAUAGAUCCAAAAACGCAGCUGACCUUUUGAUUACUCUUUUUUGGUUGGCAACUAUACUUCUCUUUCUAUUUUGCUCCAAACUCAAAAACAAAUCGCUCUGAACUUGAAGAAUAGAUAACUGUGGAGUUUACAAAGUUUGUUCUUUUUUUUUUUAUUUCUCUCCUUGUUAACUUUAAGGUCGGAUCUUUGUACUACUUAGACAGAGAGAGAACAACAACUGUCACAUCCCACAAUCUGAUCGCUAAGAAAGCAUCAACCUUUCCUCUGCUUUUCUUUUGGCUCUGUAGCAUUUGAGUUUUGUCGGUUUGUGCAGCAUUUUCUCAAGAGAUUUGAGGUAAAUUCAUCAGCAACAAAAGUGGGUUCUUCUUGCUACUCUUCCCUUUACUGUGCUUUCGUUUCUCUAAAGAAAACAUUUUCUUAUUGUCUCUCUGCUUGUUUGGUGUUUGAUCAUUUGUCUAAGAGAAGAUCAAAUCGAAAUGGAGAAGAAGUAUGUGUGCAAGUUCUGUAACAAGAAGUUCCCUUCUGGCAAAUCACUUGGAGGUCACAUCAGGAUUCAUUCCAACGACUACUCAGUUGCUUCUGAUAGUUUCAACGGCAAGAAUCCUAAGAUGAAGAACAACAACAAGAAGAGGUUGGUGGAACAUAAACAACUUUGUUGCGGAGAAUGUGGUAGCAAUCACAUGGAUUGUCACUGUGUGGUAGAGAAGAUGGUGAUGGAUAGCCAAUCUGAUACUGAGACUACUUCCUCGGCUCCUACCAGGAAAAGAUCCAAGAAGCUGAUGAAACAAUCCAAUUCAGAAUCUUUUAGCUCGUCUUCUGCUUCUGAGAUUGACCAAGAACACAAGGACACUGCUUUGUCUCUGAUGAUGAUGUCUAUAGAUUCUAAAGGACAUAACUUGAUGGUGAACUCUCUCGCUGAGUCAUCUGAGAACAACUCUGAGAUUCUGGAGACAAAGUCUUCUUCAGGGGAGCAGCUAAACGUGAAGAAUCAGGGUUUAAAGACUGAUAAAGUUGCAGUUGAUGACCAAUUGAGAUCUGCCAAUGAUGCUGAUUCAUAUAGCUCUGAUUCUGAUUACUUCAUGAAUGGCCCAAAGAAGUCAGACUCAGAUAUCUCUGUUGAAGGGUCUCUCAGGAACACUGAACUCAACAGUUUCAAGAAUGGUGAUGAGCUUGGGGUCAAGGAGGGAGGAUCAAAGUAUCAGCUGCGCAAAAGCAAAAGGGUCUUGCCUUCUUCUUAUGAAAGUGAUUCUUGUGCAGACAGAAACAUGAAGAUUCAUAGGUCCGGUGAUUGCAAGAUGGUUAAGAAAGCUGUUGGUGCAAACAGAAGUAGCAAAGUUCACGAGUGCCCCAUCUGCUUCAGAGUGUUCAAAUCAGGACAAGCUUUAGGUGGUCACAAGAGAUCACAUUCCAUUGAGAGCCAAGAACAGAGGAUCAAACACAAAGCAGCAGUUGAUAUGCGUAUCGAUCGCAAUCUCCCUGCUCAUGAUGUUGAUGUAUGAAUCAUAACCUGAAUCAAAUGUUUUUUUUAUUUUUAUUUUGUUCAUAUAAAGUUCUAAACUUAGCCAAUUCUUUUCUUUAUGACUUCUGAGUGUUGAUAUAAAGCUACACUCUUUAUCUGAUGAACUCUUCUUAUCGGGCUUUAUAAAUACUUUGGUGGACACUUCUUUAAAGACCUGAGAUAGAUAGCUUGUGACCCACGAAACAAGUAUAUACACGCUCUUGUUUUUCUUGAACUGAAUUUUAUACACAUUCACGUACAAAAUACGUAACACGAGAUCACUUCUACGUAUUACAAAUCAUGUAGAUAAGCUACCGAAAGUGAAAUAAAUCGAUGGGAAUGUAUAAUAAGGUCACGGGUUUUGAUAUUUAUAUCAAUGAAAACGAUCUAACAAGGACCCACAAAACCCCAUAUCAUAACGUCGAAUCAUGUGCAUCGUCUGCGUUGCAUUAAAACCCACUUUGCUCUUUUCCCUCUUUCUGUCAAGUUUAAAACUUUACCUUCUCCAAGAAACCUUCUUACCUUUCUACUCUCUCUCCUCGCAUUAAGCAAUGUCGUCGACUUACCUCAAACGUCCGAUCAUGAUCUCAUCUCUCAUUCUCUUCAUCGUUUUCAUUGCUUCCCCAACCGUCGAAGAAAACCCGAAGGAAUCAAGAAACUUCCAUUACCGAACCCACCCAUUGGCCCCGAGGGUUCACCACCCGUAUGACGUGAGUCCUCAGGGUUCGUGCGACUCCUUCACUCGUCCAUACGCGCGUUCUAUGUGCCUUGAGCUUCAAAGAAUCCACCGUAGCACCAAGAAGCAGCCACUUGUUCCCCCUCCUCCGCCGGAGAUUGAUCCAAGGUACGGCGUCGAUAAGAGACUCGUCCCCUCCGGUCCAAACCCUCUUCACAACUAAAAACCCUAUCCCACAGUUUGUAUACAUAUAUAUAGAGAGAGAGACCUUAGUUACAUAUUUUAUAUAGUUAACACAUUUGUUGGCGUUUCUUGAAGAUCUGUGCCCGAAGACGAAAGAUUCAUUUCUUCUUUGCGGGUCUUUCUUGAAUCUUGAUUCUACUCUCUUGAUCAUCUUAAUGGAGUCCUACGUACGUAACGUUAUGAGGGAUGUAUUGUUGCUAUUUCCACGCUUGUUUUUGAAGACUAGUAGAGAGUGAAAACAAUCUUGGAAAUAGUGUGCAACGUCUUUCUUUUUUAUUUAUUUUUAUGUUUACAUAAUGUGAAACUUUAAAAAAAUAAAUGCAGGCAAAAAGAUUUAGAUAUUGGUUGUAAGAGAGGGGAGAAACACAUGAGUUCCAUUAAUUUGGGAGCUGUAUAUUAUUAUGUAACUUCGAAGUCACGGCCAAUAUUGGUCUAUGAAUAAAACUUUUAUUUGAAGUUCUUGAUGGGCCAUAUGUGUAAUCCUUAUGUCUGCUCUUCUCUCGUGUGACAUCUCACUGUAAAGAUGCUCAAAUUGCUUGUCUCUUUGACUUUGUCAAUAUACAAAAACAAAAGGAGUCUUUAGUCUAGUUGUAUAACAUAUGUUCAUUACGAGCAACACUAGUAAUCUCAUCUCUCCUACAAUGAAUGAAAUUAGUGGAUUGGGUUGUUGUGUGAACCAAUAGGUUUUUUUAGAACUGCAAAAAUAAGGUGAAACAGAAAAGGCAACAAUGAAAGACAGUGACUACAAGUUUUGGAAAAAAUGAUGAACAUAAGUGACACAUGAGAGUUGUAAAGAGAACUUUGGUGAUAACAUGAAAAUAAGACAAACUUGUUACAAUUACAAGGAUAGUAAGAUAAGUUUUGGGUGCUCCACUAAAAGAAAAAAAAAAGAAUUGUGAAAGACAUUAUUAAUACCCAUUUUUUACUCUUUUUAAAAUGGUGAAGGGUAUUUUAAAGUAACAUUAAGCUGAUACAAACCAUAUAGUCUAGUCUAGACUACUUCUUAUUUAUCUCAAUAGGAAAAAAUGCAUUUUCGAAAUCUGAUUAAAAUUUUCAUUUUUUUCUUUCUUAUUUCAUCUCCAACCCCAAAAAGAAAGCAAAUCUCCUAACUUUAGAUAUUUCAAAGUCUGUUUUAUUUGUUUCCUGUUUUUGUGUUCUCUCUUUUGCUUGAUGGUAGGAUCUCAAGUUAACAAGAUAGGACUGUUACAUUCCCCCAAAACUGAUCGCUAUCAGAAAGUAUCAAGCUUUGAGCUUGAUGAUUCUCUCUUCCCCUUCUCUCUCUUAGCAUCUGGGGAGUUCAGUGCUCCUUCCAAGACUUGAGGUAAACCAGACAAAUGGGUUCUCACUAACUUUCACUUUCUGAUCUUUGCUUAUAUAGUGUUUGAACAUCUGUCUUAAUUAAAGAUGGAGCUGUGCAUUGAGAAGAGGUUUGUGUGUAAGUUCUGUAACAAGAGGUUCGCUUGUGGGAAAUCACUGGGAGGUCACAUCAGAACUCACAUGAGCAACAAGAACUCAGCUGAUUCAGAUGAGGAUGAACACACUAAGCUCAUGAUCGAUGAAAAUGGAGGUCAGUCUAGCUACGGUCUGAGAGAGAAUCCUAAAAAGAACAAGAGGUUUGUGGAUCAGAGAGAGAUGAUGGCUCUGAAACAUCACCAGCAUCAACUACAACUUCUUUAUUGCAGAGAAUGUGGUAAAGGUUUCCCUUCUUCAAAAGCUCUUUGUGGUCACAUGGCUUCUCACUCUGAGAGAGAGAAGAUUGUGAUGGAUAGUCAAUCUGAUACUGAAGCUUCUUUGUCAACUAUAAGGAGAAGAUCCAAGAGAGCUGUGAAACAUCAUCAUGGUAGUAGCAUCAUGAAUCAAUAUGACGCAGCAUCUUCUGAUGAGUCUGAGAUUGAGCCGGAACAAGAGCAAAUGGCAUUGUCUCUGAUGAUGCUGUCUAGAGAUGAUUCAGGUUUCAAGAAAGGACAUAACUUGGUUGUGAACUCUUUUGCUGAGUCAUCAGACAACAACUCUGUGAUUCUUGAGACUAAGUCUUCUUCAGGAGAACAGCUGAGGAAGAUCUUCAAGGUGAAGGAGUCUUGUAAGAAAGACAAACUUGGAGUAGAAGUUGACCAUUUGAGAAAUGGUGAGGACAAUGGUUAUGUUUCAGAUAACUCUGAUUCUGGCUACUUCAGGAAUGGACCAAAGAAGUUGGACUCAGAUGUUACUGUUGAUGGGUUCCUCAGGAACAAGGCUGCAAUGGGAUUCAACAGCUCAGAGGAUAAGAGCUUGAACAGAUUCAGGACAGGAUCAGAUCGUUCUUCGACAAAGUAUGAUCUGAGGAAAAGCAGAACAAGCUUUCCUACUUACGGUCGGAAGAAAAUGAGGUAUGAGUUCACGGAAUCAGUGUAUGACAGUGGUGAUCAGCAUAGCUUGGAGACUGAAUCUUGUGCGGAGACAAUCAAGAUUCAUAGUAAACCCCCAAUGGUUAAGAAAGCAAAGAAGAAAAGCAAAGGUCACGAGUGUCCGAUAUGCUUCAGGGUGUUUAAAUCAGGACAAGCUUUGGGUGGUCACAAGAGAUCACAUUUCAUUGGGAAUCAUGAACACAGGACUUUGGUUAUCCAACAACACCAAGUGGCUCAUGAGAUGCAUACCCUCAUCGAUCUCAAUCUUCCUGCUCCUAUUGAUUAAUGAAAUCACUAGUAACAGCAAUUUUGUUACUCAUUGUUAUUGUUAUUGUUUCCUCUCUGAUUUUAUUUUCUUGUUGCUUCAGAUUCAAGAAUACUUUUGGUUCGGAAGGUAAAUCAAUUUUUUUCCUAUUUUAUUUGUUCAUAAUCAUAUCAAGAACCGGUGAAGUUGACCAAACUUUGCUAUCUUUUGCUUUCUGAAUCCUCAUUUCUUGACCCCCAAGAAAGGUUUUUAUGAUACUUCUUGCUAUAUCUUUGAAUAUGUAUCAUGCUAAUUCAUGGAUAUGUAUAGCAAAAGUGUUGCUGCAAGCAAACUAUGUUUUACAUUAUAGCUUAAAUUUAUGUUUAGGUAGGGUGUAUUAAUCUCUGAAUCAUCAAGACAUGUAAUCUACUUUUGUUCAAAUCAUAUAUUUUACCUUGACAUCAAACAUUGACAGCAAUUAACAUAUCUAUCUGUUUUAUAACCAACCAAGCUUUAUAUAAUACAAAGCAAAUCAAGUUUGGCCACAUCUUACAGAAGACGAACACUAGAUAUACAACACGAUCCCCCCCCCCCCCCCCCCCCCANNNNNNNNNNNNNNNNNNNNNNNNNNNNNNNNNNNNNNNNNNNNNNNNNNNNNNNNNNNNNNNNNNNNNNNNNNNNNNNNNNNNNNNNNCCCCCCCCCCCAACAAUUAAAACAUAAUCUAUUGUAUAGUAAUUGUACUCUCUUAUAAUGUUCCAAGUUUUGAUACGUUCUGAUAGUUUUCCCCCUGAAACUAUCAUGUUAAGAUCACGGUCGCAGGAUUACCUGCAGGAGGGUACCUUUGUCUCCUCGGUCUUCUUGUUGCUUUUCCCCAACCUGUAAGCUUACUGUCUUCAAGUCCCACCACUGAUACGCUCUCUAUCACUGGCUGUGCCAUUGACGGGCAAACUGGAGCUUGGCUUGUGAUUCGUUUUCUUUUUGAGUUCCGUCUAGCAGCCACUCCAGAGUUCCAAGUGUGCUCUCUGCUUUUCAUAAGCCCACCAAACAAUUGGAUAUCUUCAUUGACUUCAUGCCUCGAUAGAGAAGGGAGUCCAGGGAGAGUAUCUCUCUGGAAAUCCCGCUUUGGUCUUCCUCGUCUUGCUUGUCCUCUUCUGGGCCUGUUUGAACCCGUCACUUCGAAUAUCAGAUUCUCAGGGACUAAGGGCUCUGGCAUGUAGUCUUCUUCCUUGGUGGGAUGUAAAUUAAGGGUCAUGGCUUCAAAGUAAUCAAUCUCCCCAGAAGAAUCUCCUUCGUGAUCAGCCUUUCGUUCUAACUCAUCACCCUGAGAAGUGAUAAUGUCUGCGAACCACGAGAGCGGACUUUUCCCAGCCGCAACAGUUGAAGAGGAAGCUGCGUCACCGGGAAGACGUUGGUGAUCAGACAAUGAGAUGGCGACUAUUGCUUGUGCUGCUUCCUUGAUGAGUUCAUCCAAGGAGUUUCCGUCUUUGCCUUUCAUCAAUCCCCAUGUUUCUUCAUUUGAUUUCUCACUCUCUCUAUCUUCUUCUUCUUCACUCUCCAGUGUAGGGGGAGCUUCCAAAUCUAUACAAAUUAUUCCUUUUGUUUUCACUCUCAGACUGGAAUGUAAAGCAGAAUCUUCAUCAUCCUCACUAGCACAUGAAUUCAGAUCAAUGUAGUGUCUGAAGUUGCCAGCCUUAUUUCCUUCUUCCUUUCCAACACGAAAGGCUUUAGUACCAUGCUGGUCAUUACAAACCGAGGCAUCACAUGGCAAGUUGAUAUCAAGGUCGCGCUUAACCAAGUGAUUCACUUCCUCCUUGAAAAUAGUAGGCUGCUCAAAGAUUGGGCACCCAAUGAUUUUUCUACUAUGUGGAUUGAUCAUUUCAACUCUUCCCACGUUGGCAUUAUAAGAGCAUGAAGUAGAUGAUCUCAAACUCUUCUGAGGUGAAAUACUAUUUAGGCCGUCCCCUGUGUCAGUUCCAUCAAUGGAUUGAUUUGUCGAAGCAUUCAAAUCCAAGAAGCCAUUAGAUACUUCACUUCUGUUAAGUGGCUUAGGUUUUAGCCAUGGUAGCCCAGCCGAUCGUUCCUGCUUUUUUGGCCCUUGAAGGCUUUCAAAAUUCUGGUUCUUCACUACCUCUCCUACAGAACCAUUUGGUCUAAAGCCAGCUGAUGGGAAAUUUAAGACAGCCUCCUUCGACCCUGAAGAGAAUCCAUGAUAAAUCCCGUUAGAGGCAGGACUUCUCAUCUCAAAAGUUGAAUCUGUCCUUGCAUGAGCGACAAAAUUCAUGUAGGGAUUCUUUUGAACUGGGUAAGAUUUUUGAUGUGAGCUGCUCCUAGGAUUCUCCCAUGAUGAAGACCAGUGGCUCCAUGGUCUUACGAAGUCAGGGCGGUAGUCAUUGUGUAACCUUGGAGUGUUAGAUGCCACACUUGAUUCCACGUGGCUAUCAUAAGAAGCUUGAGGAUUCUUCGAACGAACUUCCAGAUCACGAUAUCCUGGGAAUAUUACCUUGUUAUGAUCAGUUGUAGGAUAGCUCUGAGGUUGAAAUCCAUUGUUAGAGAAUGCUUGUGCAGAAUGGGAAGGCAGCUGGUCUCUAUGUGUGCUUCUGCUGUUCCCUAUUAACACAGUGACAUGAACAUUUUACAUUUUUGAGAGAAAGAAGAUAGGCAAAAAUGGCUACAUACUGAAUCAACACACAAUUCAAAACCGUUAUAUGAUCCAUCGACAUGUACAUGCAUAAUAAGACACUACUAUGACAUAUUUUCAGCUAAUAAAGCACAUGUGAGCAGGAAGACACACACAGUCUCAGUUUUAUAUCAUUUCAAAGAUUAAAGAAAUGAAACGAAAAUAAAGGGCAUGCCACUUGUUUUAAAAGGUCACCUGCUUCAAGGACCAUCCAUCCAUUUUGACUAGUGUUUUUCUCCAAACAGAGUCCUUGAACAUCCGCAUUGUUUCUCCCGUAAUGAGCAUGCAUGUCCCUGGAUAGAGAAACAGGUUCUGAAUCUUGACACUUGAGUGGCUCAUUCAAGUCAGCUAGGCCGUUUGAGUUCUUCACAUCCAAACAAGACCCUGAAGAGUUGCUCUGAUGAGAAGCAUCCCCUCUUCCAGAUUUGGACCGUUUGAAUGGAGGGAAGAUUGUAAUCUCUUCGUUAUCACCAGUUUCAUCGGUAUCAAGAUACUCAUCGGCAGGGAGUUGAAGAUCAAUCAUUUUUCUCCUAGCCUUCACAGGACUAACACUAAACCCAUUUUGCAAACGACCGUUACAAGCUUGAGAGCUGCUCCCUUCUCCAUACCCAGGAAGCUGCCUUUUACUUGCAGUCUCAGACGUAUAAUCACUAAAACUAAACUCUUCUUUAGAGUUCUUCCCCUUUACUUCAUCCACCAGCUUCCUCUGGACUCUGUACAAACGGUGAAGCUCAUGCACCUGACAUCAAUACAAACAAAGUCAAAAUCUUUAAAUGAGGAAAGGAAACUCAAUAAAGUAUUAGAAAGAAAGAAAGAAAGAAAGAAACCUGGUUCUUAAAUACAGCUUCGUGCUCAAGCAUUGUCUGUUUCAUGAAAUCUCUCUCGUACCCUCCUGAGUAUGACGAAUCCGCCGCAGCAUAAGAAGCUCUUAUCGACCCGUUGUGAUACUGAAGAUUUGCACCAUCUCCACCGCGGCGAUAAGCAGACCAACUACAAGUAUUGAAAUCUUCACUCAUUGAGGGCAAAAAGGUUUCACAGUGAGUGGACCACUCUUGCUCCCUCAUUCCUCUCUCCAAUGAAGGCUAGAUUCUGCUGCAAUUUCACAAUGCUUUGAUUCAGAUUCAAACUUAUACAAUCACAGGGUUCACAAUCAAGUGAUUAUAAAUUUCUUUUUUUUUGAAAAUCCAAAUCCAAAAACAUAUUUGUAUAUUAAAAUAGUUUUGUGGAUCGAUUUGACUUAUAAAUGACUUAAACCUAAUUCAUCAAACAAAGCAACACAGAUUAGCAAAUUAUAUAUUUUUUAAAAGAAGAUAGAAAUGGCAAAUUAAAAUAAAAGAAAAUAUAUAAUAUAAAAAUAAGGUUGAUAGAGAUUGUACCUCUCAUCAUCUGAUCGCACUUUGAACAGACGAUAAAAAAUCAUCUUUAAUCGUUGAUUAUUGGAAACACUCACUCCCAAAUCUUAUCGAUAAAUGAAAAAAAAAUUGAAUUAAGAAAAUAAAGUGCGAAAUUAAUUAAAUACCGAAUUUUUGAAUCAGGAGAGAUUCAAAAUCUAAAGUAACGACGACAGUUUAGUGAUGAAGAAGAGAGCUAAACAAUCAUGGAAGAAGAAGAAGAUAGCUCUCAAGCCGUCUUCUAAAAAUCUCUCUCUCUCUCUUUAUCUCUCUCCUUGUCUCUGGCUUUUCUAUCGCUCAGAUUCUAUUAGCGAAUGCAAUAACCAUAAAAGAAUUAAGGAGAGCUUUUAUAUUCCUUUUUUUAAUCGGAUUUGUUGUUUUCUUAAAAUAAAAACAAAUAAAUAAAUACGGAAACGAAAGAGGCUUCUAAUAACAGUGACGUGAUAUUUUGUCAACACUCGCUCCUUCCCUUCUUCUUUUUUCUCGUGAUCUACUACUCACUUUUACAUUUUCUGUUUUUAGAGAUCUGGUCGGUUUUUUAAUUGUAGUUUCUAUAUUUGUUUUUCGUUUUUAGUAUAAAAGUGUAGUUUCUAUACUGAUAAAAAAAUAUCACUUAAAAAGAAAGAUGUUAUUAAAUGUUUGUAAAAUUAUCACUUAAACAGACAGAUGCUCUAAUAGUUUUCUUAAUUUUUAAAAUGUUUAUUUGGUUGAGAAAUGGUAUUCUAAAUUUUCACUUUUUAACCUUUUCAUUUUUAUUAAUUUCUGGAUAUAAAAGUAUAGGAUAAGAAAAAAAAGAUUAAUUUCGAAAUCCUAUACACUAUUACAAAUGAUGUCUUUUUCUAUUGGGGGUAAAUACAUGUUUUUAAACAGCUAAAAUUUACAAAUUGUUGCUAAAAAAAACAGCUAAAACUAUUUUACCCUAGAUUCUCUUUGUAUCUUUGAAUGCGGACAAUGAUUUUGGACGGAAAUAAGAUAGGAUCGGAAAAUAUUUUAUUUACGUUACUUUACGAAAAAACAACAUUAUUUUGGCAGCCUUAAUAUUUUUUAAGCCUUAUUAUUUAUACUUAUCUUUUUAUAUAUGAUUUAAUAAUAAAAUCGUGCAAUGAUGUGUAUAUCAGUAAUUUACAUCUAUAUCCUCACCGGAUCUACUCUAGCUUUACAUAAGGAAACAAUACAUCACCUAACAAUUUAUAAUUCAUGUAGAGAUAAAAUAGCAGACUGGUCCAAAUCCAUCCUUAUUUUGUAAAUAUUAAAAGUUAUUUCUAAUUUUAUAAGUCAUAGUAAUGUUUUUCUUUCAACCAGAAGCAGAAAUAAAAAAAUAUAUAUCAAAUGAUAAUUAGCAUGCUAUUUUAAGACCCCUUCUCAAAAAACAAACUAUGCAAAACUAAACAACAAGUUUGAUGAUAACAUUAUUAAUUUCUAAAUGAGGCAUCAAAUAUUUAUUAAGUUAGGUAGAUAAAAGCCAGUGGGGCCUACAUGUGAGCCAACUUUAAGGUUUUCAGUUUACGUUUGUGGGGGGUGUUGAUGUCAAAAAAAAAUGUGGGUAAUAAAAUAAAUACCCCUGACCUUGUGGAUAAUUACGAGUUUUGUGAUUAUCGUUCGAAGCUUUGUUUUUCUGGUCGUUCUUGAUUGGCUAUUUAUCUCUACUCUCUUAGUGAAAAAAUCAAUUAAAAGGCUGUUUUGUGGAGAUUAUUACAUUAACUGCUUCAAGAAAAGCAUUUUUUAAGUCCUGACACGUGACAGGUGUUUUAGUGGACGAACAUAUUAUCAUACAUUUGAUAUACUAAUGUAUAAACGAAUCUAAAGAGUUUUUGUUUGAAACUUUUGAAUUUACAUUUGAGAUUUUCUUGUUUCGGUUUUACAGCUAGAGAGAAACUAAAAUUAUAUGGUCAUGAAAUGGAUCUCGACCAUGCUUUUUAAAUUAGUUUGUCUACUGAUUAAACAAAUAAGAAAUAUACAAAAAUGACUUGGGCUGGGCUCCUAAAAUAAUUAAUUUAUAAAGCUCCCAAGCCCACACGUGGUUGACUUUGUAUAUCGGGGCCGGAUAUUCACAAUGUUCAGUUUCAUACAAGCUUCAGUUAUUUUCAAGAUUCUUGAUAUUUGCCUUUAGUUUUCUGCAUGUUUAACAAAGCUUCUGCAUUGAGGAGAAGAAGUUAUAAACUAUGAAUAUAAGAUCAUUCAAGCUUGUUUUCGAAUCGUAAGGUGAGGAAUAACUUAGCUUAAAUGAGUUAGCUAUUUAUCUAAGGCAGUUAAAGGUUCACCUUUAGUUUCUUUUAACCAAACAAAACUGUAGUUUUGAAACGCAAGUAAAAAAAAUCAUUUUUAUGCGACUAGAAAGAUAUGAAGACGUUGCAACAUCAUGAAAUAGGUAACUCAUUAACUCAUCAAGCAAGAACUGGAACUGUAGAAAGAAUAAACCAUCUGAUUCUAACUGGUUUGUAAAGUUUGUGAGGUAUGGAUCUAUUACUAGAUGUUUAAUAACUCAAUUUACAUUUCCAAUUAGUAACCAGUAACGUGGUGAAGAACACCUUAUCAGCUAUAUAUGUCGUGACAUGCUAAGUUGAAUGGAAGAAAAAUUGUUCUUGGGAUGACGUUUAAGAUUGAAGGCUUUCAUUGCAUUUUAAAUAAACUAAUUGUAUAUACAUUUGAUCAGAAAAUUGGUUUAGAUACACGAUGUAUCCUUCAAUGAACUCAUGUGUUACUUACACCACCAUAUCUUCUUUAUUUAUUAUUUUUUUUUUUUUGUAACUUAUAUCUUCUUUAUUUUUCUGCAUCAAUUAGUGUGACCGAGGAGAUAUUUUCUUCAAGGUGAUUGAUCCAUCUGAUUUUCAAAUAUGCAAGACUUUUCCUUAAUUAGUAGCGUUGGAUUUUCUUAACUAUUAUACAAUUAGGGAUGUCAAAUGGUGUAUACUAGUUUUUAUGAGUUCAGUUAUUACUUUGUUUUAGAUUUGUCGAACCGUAUACUAAGCUUUAGCAGUUAUGUUUUUUUUUUUUGAACAAUAGCAGUUAUGUUAUAUUCAAACAUGUUAAACUUAAUUUCAAUAUUCCCUUCUCGCAUCUGAUCAGCAAAGAAGCAAAUCUUCAAAAAUUAAGUUCAUAGUUGACAAAAUCACAAGCAUAUAUACACACCGAGUCUUGUUGUAAGAAAGCAUAAACACAAACAAAAAGAUAUUUGUCCCAACACAUCAAUGUAUAUUGUUUUCACUCUGAACAACCUCAUCUUUACGAGUAAAGAGAACUUCUUCAUCGUCAGCACAUUUUGUAUUCAUCGUGAAUCACUAUAAGUAUACAAGCACACUAAUAUAUAAUGGUUAUCAUCCAAUUCAUCAAAUCUAACUUCGUGUUAGAAUCUCAACUCCCAAGCUACCAAUUUGUACUUUCAUAUUCUCAUCCUACAUCAUCAUCUAACCGAAUGGAACAACGUCUCGUUUAGUUCAUGUCGGGUAAAAAUUUAAACCACACCCUUUUUUUUUCCCCUUAAAGAUACAGUUCAAAACUAUGGUUAAUAAAUCUGGAUCAGGCCUUAUAAGUUUAUAGAUGGGCUGGGCCCAAAAGCAACCCUAGAAAAGCCUGCGAUCCUCCGUAUAAAAAACGGAGUUCUAGGUUAUCGUACCCAUUCCCGUCUUCCUUCCCCCAAACCUAAAUUACUGAAACAUGUCUGACGAAGAGCACCACUUCGAGUCCAGCGACGCCGGAGCUUCCAAAACCUACCCUCAGCAGGCUGGUAACAUCCGUAAGGGUGGCCACAUCGUCAUCAAGGGCCGUCCCUGCAAGGUUUCAUUUCCAUCUCCUCCUUAUCAUCAUUUUUUAGAUCUCCGUUGUUUAGGUUUCUGGGGAAUAAUCAGAUCGAGUGGAUCUAAGAGAUUUAGUUUGUGAUUUUUUUUCUUUUUCGGAUUGAUUAGGUUGUUGAGGUUUCGACUUCGAAGACUGGGAAGCACGGUCACGCAAAGUGUCACUUUGUUGCUAUUGACAUCUUCACUGCUAAGAAGCUUGAGGAUAUUGUUCCCUCUUCUCACAAUUGUGAUGUAAGUAUAAAAAAAAUACAAACUUUACAUAAGAUCUAGUUGUGGUCUGAUUCAGAUUUGUUUAUUCUUGUGUGUGUCAGGUUCCCCAUGUGAACCGUAUUGAUUACCAGUUGAUUGAUAUCUCUGAGGAUGGCUUUGUAUGUCUCUCUCUCAUCAGUCAAAGCUUUGUUUUUUUCUUCCGCACUUUCUCUCAUUACUCAUAGCUUUGUUUGUUCAUGAUCUUACAGGUUAUAGCCUUUUGACCGACAGUGGUGGCACUAAGGAUGACCUCAAGCUUCCCACCGAUGAUAGUCUCAGCGCUCUUGUUAAUAUCUUGUCCUUUCCUACUUAUUUAUGUGAAUUGUUUUCAUUUUUGAGGUUGUGUUAUUGAAUUUAUUUUGUGAUUCGCAGAUGAAGAGUGGAUUCGAGGAGGGAAAGGAUGUUGUGGUGUCUGUCAUGUCUUCAAUGGGAGAGGAGCAGAUCUGUGCCGUCAAGGAAGUUGGUGGUGGCAAGUAAAAUCCAUUCUCUUUACACUGAGGGAGGAUAAUCUUAUUACCAGUGGUCAAUGUUAUAAGAACAAGAACUUGUUUUUUUUUCUUUUUCUAAUUUAGAUCAUUUGUGUUGUGUUUCUUUGUUGCAAGACAACCAUUAUCUAUUAUUGGUUUUGGAUUGUUUAAAAGUUUCGUGUUUUAAAACAGGGAAUGUUUUCCUAUGAGAUUCUUAAAUCCCUUUGCUUUUUAUGAUGAUGUGCUUGGUUAUGUUGGUCACGAAAGUUGUGUUUAUACAAGAACAACAUUAGCCAGAUGAAGGUCAAUGUUAUUAGUCAUUACACGUUCUUGACUAUUCACAAACUUUUGUAUUAAACAUCAACAGAAGUAGCAUGAAGCGAGGUCAAAAUUUCAAUUUUUGCUCUUAGUGGCGUAGUCAAGGGGUCUCCCCCUUUGCAGCAAUUUGUUUCAGAAAUUCGCUGAAACAGCUCAUCACCAAUGUGUUUCCCUAUGUUCAUCACAUCACUGUCUCUUUUGUCUAAAACAGCAGUGGUUUACUCAGUGGACGUCACUUACUCUUAGGGAUAAAGUCGAGAUAAGCAAGUUCUUGGUUGCGUUGCAGAAGCUAUGGAGACGAGCUGUGUUCACUUACAUGUGGAUUUGCAUUCUUUUUGUCGCUUGAUUCACUUUCUUCUGCGUCUCCUUGUAGCAAUCUGCAGCUCCUUCUCUGCUCUCGGCUUCUCUCCAGACUGCAAAUGUUAAGGGAGCCGUCUUAGUCGAGUUAGCACUCUCUGUUGCUUUCGCCAACGCCAUUAUAAUCUGCAGCACCGCGGCGGUGGUCACGGUUCUUGAAGAUGUUUCAGGGGCAUGAGCGUUGGUGGGAGCUAGUGAUAUGAUCAAAGGGCAAUGUUCAAGUUGGUUUGUUGAUGUUCCUUGGUUCAAGUUGGCUGCCAAUAUCUGUUUUUUUUUUAAAGAUGUAUACCAAUGAACAUUUUUUGUUUCACUUGGAAAAACCUCAUCCAUUUUCAAGGCUUUGUGUUAUAUAUAUUGCUACGUUUACAUGAUUUGAAAGAUCAUAGCAGCUCAAUGCUCAAGUUGGGUUAAAUAGUAAUUUUGAAAGUAGGUAGAUUUUUGUGAGAAUUAAUUAUUAUAAAAGGACUUAAAGUCAAUAUUUGCUUCUUGGUGAUCGCAAACCCCGGUUUAAAUAGUACUCGUUCAAAUUGCAAAACCACAAUUAUCUCGUUCACCGUCGGUCCGUCGCCACUCGCCGUCACCCACCGCCACACCAUCAGCAUAGUUUAACUUCGCUGUCUCCACUGAAGCGCCGUCUUUAGGUCGUGUCCAGACAUUUAUCAUCAUCACCUUGCCAGUGAGUUCCAAACAUAUUGGAACCUUUGCUGUUCUCUGUACUUUCUGAACUAAUCGUUUAUCGACUUAGGUUUCUCAAAUUGAAAUGUUCCUUUCAUAGAUUAUUUUUGGCUUAGAGGCCUGUUUGAUUCUCAUAUUUGGAGCUGAACUACGUAAUUGUGUUUCUCUCUAAAAGCGUUCACCACGUGUUCGAUGUAAUGCCUCCAAAGUUUUCAUGCAUUCUCUCUGGACUUGUUCUUAGAUAUUGACUGUUUGGCGAUUCUUGACUUUGAAACGAGCAACUCAAUAUUCUAUACUUUUAAUUUAGCCUGAGUCUAUGUCUAAAGCCUCAAGCUUUAUAUGGUUUGGUCAUGUUGCAGUAAUGGACGAGGGACGUCAAAAGGACUUGCAGUUGUUGGAGGAAAUCAUCGAUAAAGGUCUUAAACAGAAGCUUCUACAAACGAUUGCUUCACGGUAAUUCAAAUUUGCCUCCUUUUUCAUAUCCAGAUUUAAAAUUGUAUCUAUGAUGUUAGAGGGUUAGGUUAGCUUGUCUUCGUUGCAUUCUAUUCCUUUUGUAGACUCUUUUUGAAUAAUGUUUUCUCAUUAUGUCUCUUCACUUUGUUGGUUUCGCAGGGACAAGAUUUUUGAAGAGCAGAAAGAACUGUAUCCUUUUGUAUAGGAAAUACUCUUCUGUUUCUCCAAAGAUUUUUGUAUAGAAACUCUUGUUUUUAGUUUCUCCCUUGUCUAGCUGACUGAUUCAAAUACCAUUCAGUCUUUCGCUUAGUUUCGAGUUUCUUGUAAUCCAGAAGAACUCUUCUUGGUGUACUCGUUGACAAUACUUUACUGUUCUAGUGAGCUCUCAUUUAGUUCGAAGUUCUUCUUUUUUUUUCCUUAAUAACUACUCCCGCUCCAGCUCUGACUUGCGGAAAAACAUAGAAACUCUGGAGAAAAAUGGUGUAAAUAGUCUCAAAACUAUGGUCAACCUCGGUUCAGAAGUUUACAUGCAAGCUGAAGUGUAAGUCACUUAUAGCUUCGGUUCUUUCUUUUGCAUCUUAGUCAAGUCAGUAUCUGAGGAAAUGACAUGCACUGUCUCCAUACUGAGCUAAUUUUUUUUUACAAAUAACACUGAACUCUUGUUUAUUCAAAUAGUGUACUUUCACUGUGUUAUGUAUGUUAGAUGCUAGUUAUGUAUCAUUGAACAGAAAAAAUGUUUGUAACUGCGGAUUAAAAUUGGAGAUGGUAUAUACCAGUCUUACUUCUGAUUUCGUUUACACUUGGUUUGGGUGUCUGUUUUGAGUUCAGGCCAGAUACAAGACACAUAUUCAUGGAUGUAGGGCUUGGUUUCUAUGUGGAGUUCACCCGGCAAGAAGCUCUUGACUAUAUUCCAAAAAGGGAGGAACUAGUUAAAAAGUAUGACAACGCCUUGCUUUUUCUUUGCUCCACAUGGUGUUUUUCUGAAUUUAUGUUUGCCGUCUCUUCAAGACUUGGGCUGUUCUAUACACAACCUUGUCGCAUUGGUGUUAUCAUACCUGUGAGGUUAAUUUUAGGGAAAGCAUAUGGUUGAAUUAUUGUUUACGACGAAUGAGUUGUCUGGUCGAAUGCAUCAUAAUGGCUAAAUGUUGAUACUAUAAAUGGUGGUUUUGUUUGUUUGUUUGUUUUUACAGACAAUUAGAAGAGGUAACUAAAGUCAUUGCACAGAUCAAAGGGCGUAUCAAGCUGGUAAGUUCUAAGAGUAGUAUCUUGCUUUGUAAAAAUUCAAUUAGAAUGAGAAAAUCACUAAUAAACUAGUCUGCAUUCUCAUCUAGUUAUUUGCGUUGUUAAUGGUUGUUGUUAGCUGAACAUUGUAAACAAUUUUGCAGGCUCAUCACCAGAUUCAGCAAAUACUCAAUCUUCCCGACGAGAAUCCAUCGUCACACCGGCAACGUGCGUUUCAGUACUAACCAUGAGAGAAAGAUACGUUAAUGAGGAUUACUACUACCCUGUCCAUUGGUUAUGCAAGGGCCCUGCGCUGUCUUUCUUUAGUUUUUUUUUAAAGUUUAAGCGUGUGGAAAAGGAGAAUUAUCUUAAAAAAAAUAAAUUUAAAACUAAUCUCUGAAUUGGAACUUCAAAAGAAUCAAAACAAAAACUCAUUUCGUGGCGCACAAGCUCGAUUUUAUUUCAUUUACUAUUUACCAAUUAACCAUUUAAAUUGGACAUGAAACCGAAAUAAAAUAUUGUUUCAACCAAACCCGAUCCAAUAUACGUCAGCAAUUAGUAGAAAAGCCACGUCAGCAAUUCAUAGUGUGUCCGUCGAUGAUUAAAAUUAGAAAUUAGGGUUACGGAUCAUCUUCUUCACCCCUUGCGUCGGUGCUCUGUUCAUCUCCCGUGGUGUGGACUUCGUAGUAUCGUAAUCUCACGGUUGAAGCACCUUACUAACCCUAAGAAUCGCUACCCCUCUCUCUCUCUCUGUCGUUGGCUGAUUCGCUCGCCAAACCCAUCUCUGAUACAGGUAAGAUACGAAUCUCGAUCAAUGCCAGUGAUUAUCGCUUGAUUUGGGCAUCCUCAAAUUGAUUGAAAUUGCUUAAAUCUUGAGUCUUUCAUACGAAUUUCGAUCGGAUUUGAGAUUAAAUUGGUCACUUUGGAUGUUUUGUGUAUGUCUCAGCUGUGAUGGAACCAGGACAGAACACAAGCGCAGCAGGGAUUGGUGGAAGCAACGGUACAACUACGAUGGGAUAUCAAACCAAUGAUGGAACUGCCACUGCGUCUGAAGAUUCAAAGGAGAAUCUGAACCAAGUCAUUAACUCGAUUCAGAAGACUUUGGGACUCCUUCAUCAGUUACACCUUACUGUCUCCUCUUUCACGCCCGCUUCUCAGCUUCAUCUCCUCCAGCGCCUGUACUUCCUCUCUUUCCCAUCACUCUCUGUUCUAUAAAGAUCAUAGUUUUGUGGGUAUUGCUUUAAUGAGAAUGUGUGUAUCUUUGCAGCAAUUCUCUGGUGUCGGAGCUGAAUAGCAUGACUAAGUUGUCCGAGAAAUGCAACAUUCAAGUCCCCAUGGAAGUUCUUAGGUGAGCAUCAUGUCCUUUUUAUGCAAAACUUUGCUUUGGGUUUCUGAUGGUUACUGGUGGCUUUGCUUACUAGCUUGAUUGAUGAUGGGAAGAACCCGGACGAGUUUACAAGGGAUGUUAUUAAUAGCUGCGUUGCCAGGAAUCAAGUUACAAAGGGCAAGACUGAUGCUUUCAAGGUGGACUCCCUUUCUCUGCUGAGUCUUUUAACUUGGGUAUGGGAUUUUUACUCUUUUUUUUUUGUGUUAAUAGGAUUUGAGAAAACAUAUACUGGAGGAGCUUGAAGAGACUUUCCCUGAUGAAGUUGAUAAGUAUAGAGAGAUCCGUGCUGCUUCUGCCGCUGUAAGUUGUUAACUUUCUCUUCCUUGUGAUUGUCCUCGUUAAUAUAGUAGGCAGUAAACCCAAAGGUGACAAAAUAACUUUCAGGAAGCAAAACGGGUGGCUCAAUCGCAAAGUGUGUUACCCAAUGGGGAUGCCAAGGUCAAGAGCGAGCUAUAAGAAAGAAGCUACUGUUGUUCUUCUGUGGAUCUUCUUACCUUGUAGAAUAAAGUUUCUGAGUAGAUGAUGUAAACCACUUCACCAAAACAAAAACGAACGAGAUCACUUUGUUUGCAAUUUCUAUAUAAUAUCUGUUGUUUGUUUAUUCUUCCGUAAAACCCUCCCAACUUUAAUUUCUUGCAAAUCUACACUCAACUGCAAUUACUUACGUUUUAGUUAAUUACAAAAUUGGUUUGGUUCUGUUCUGUCUCACCUACAUUUGCACGUGUUAAUUUAAUAAACAGUAUUGUAUUACACGUGCCAAAUGAAACGCACCGUUUUUUACUUUUCCUUACCAGAGGGGGAAUCAAUCAAAAGGAAGAACAGGAGUCGUUAGUAGUUCGGUUCUUCUUCCUAUAAAACCAAAGAGGAGCAGGUUUUUCGAGAUCCGGUCAAAAUCUAAAGAAGGAUCCGUUUUGAUCAGAUCAGUUUGAAUUUCAUCGAGAGUAGGAAGAGAAAGGAAGAUGAGCGAGGUAUUUGAAGGGUACGAGCGACAGUACUGCGAGCUCUCAACCAAUCUCUCCAGAAAAUGUCAUUCUGCCUCGCUUCUCUCCCACGGAGGUAUAAAACCUAAUCUUUGUUAUAUUAAACGUCUUUGACCUGCUUACGAUCUGACGAGUUCUGUAGCAUCUGGGAAUGUGAUGUUACAUCAUUGCUUGGAUUCUCGUUAUUCAGUUGCCUAGAUCUUCCUUCAUUUCUCUAUCAAUCUUUGUUCAUCAUUGUCUUUCUUGGACUUUAUACUGCAUAGCCUUGUUUACUCUGUAGGAUCCGGGAAUGUUGGGAUGUAAUCUCUUUGUUUUGGACUCUAUGCAUAUUUUGUUUUAUAAUCUCUCCUCAAGUCAUUGUUGAGCCUGAAAGAUGAAAACCUUGUUAGCUCAAGAAUGGAUUAUGUAGCUAGCUGCAUAGACAUGUUUGAGUUGAUUAAAGAUUGUGCCUCCAUAAACUAGGAGUAGAGGUUUGAUUAAUUGUAAUGUGUUUUUCGCAGAAGAGAAGAAGGAGAAGCUUGUUGAGAUUAAGUCUGGAAUGGACGAAGCUGAUGUCUUGGUAUUUUCAUUUGUUAUUCUUAAUGUCUAAAUCCUUUUCUUGUUUUUUCUCUCUUUGAAGCAAUAUGGCUUCUACUUUUUUUAUUGUAGAUCCGGAAAAUGGAUCUUGAGGCAAGAAGUUUGCAGCCGAGUGCUAAAGCUGUGUGUCUCUCUAAACUAAGAGAGUAUAAAUCUGAUUUGAACCAACUGAAGAAAGAAUUCAAACGAGUGUCUUCCCCAGAUGCUAACCAAUCUACACGUGAAGAACUUAUGGAAUCUGGAAUGGCUGAUGUGCAUGCGGUAAAACUGAAGUGUUCUUGCUCUUCAUCUUAGAUGCUAGAUGCCAGAGAUGUUAAAGCUGAUUUACAUGAUUGCCAGGUAUCAGCUGAUCAGAGUGGGAGAUUGGCAAUGUCAAUGGAGAGGCUUGACCAAUCAAGCGACAGAAUCAGGGAGAGUAGAAGACUAAUGCUGGAGACAGAAGAGGUUGGCAUCUCAGUUGUUGAGAAUCUCAGUCAGCAACGCCAAACCCUCCUUCACGCUCACUCUAAGGUUAUACCAUAUAAAGCAAUUUUACAAUUUAUCAGAAAUGGUUCGUUGAGAAAAAAGACUAACUCUUUGUGUUUUGGUGUAACAGCUUCAGGGUGUGGAUGAUGCCAUUGACAAGAGCAAGAAAGUGUUGACUGCUAUGUCUAGAAGAAUGACGAGGAACAAAUGGAUCGUUGGUUCGGUCAUCGUGGCUCUCAUUCUCGCCAUCAUCUUGAUCAUCUCAUACAAGCUUUCUCAUUGAUUUACUCAAAAUUCAUCAUGAUUAUUGUGUAUAUAGGAUCGUUGAUUGCUUUGUAAUGUACCCAAAUAUUUGUUAUAUACUUCCAAACAUUUAUUAUAUAUACUUCAAAGGUAGGUCUAUGUCUAAUGUUAAGCAAUUAAAACACAUGGCAUGAAGUACAUCAGGUCUCCGUUAAGCUGUUUGUUUGUUUUUGUAAUGUAAUGUGGAAGUUUAUACAAUCUGGAAGUCAUUGGUUCUUGUUACCGAAUAAAAGUCGCAUUUUUCAUGGUAGUUGAUUCCACCUAUUUUCUGGCUUCUACAAACAUUUUAAAAAUCAUGGGUAAGAAGCAUAUAAAGGGGGCCGGUGCAGAAGGUGAAGCUGAGAUGGAACUUGUGUAAUCUCUGGCGUUCUUGUCUUGUUGGCAGCCUAACCAGAGCUCAAUGUACAAACCGAUAGAAAAUUGUCUGGUUUGGUUAAUAACCAAGAGUGGGUAUGAACCGGGCUUGAGUGAAUGAUUUGAUUGAUCUCUAUGAAUACGUCAAAUCCCCUAUAUAUUAAAAGAGAAACAUUACAACAUAUUUUUAUAUCCACAUGUCAUCACCACAAUCAUUCUUAGAAUCCUUAGAAAAAUAUGGUCUAUAUAAAUAUAUAAUAAGCUUUUUAUUAAACUAACCAUAAAUUAAUCAUAAAUUACCUAAUGUGGCUAAAGUAUAUAUAACAAUUAAUGAUUUUGAAUAAUAAAGAUUUGGUAAAAAUCAGUCUAUUCUCUAUCAUUUUUAAUUCAUUUUAAAAUAAAUUAAACAAUCACAUUAACUAUAUAAUAAAAAUUUAGAUUUUUUUGUAUAUGUUAUAUUUUGAAUUUUAAACAACGAAUAUAAAUGACUAAAGUUGUUAAAAAUCUCACACUGAAAUUUUUGUGAUCCAUGGUUUAAAAUUUAUGUUAUAACAAGAUACAAAUGAUUACGGAAUUACAUAAGUAGGAAGUCUCAUUUAAUAAAUAUUAUAUAUAUGCAUAUUAAUAUUGUUUUUAAAAAUAAAUUAUAUACCAUAUAAAAUACAUAAAUAUUUUAAUUUCGAAUUUGACUUGAAACUUUUUGAGAAACAUUUUGAACAAUUAUUGACAACUUAAUAUUUAGAUUUUAAACUUUGCAUUGAAUGUUUUUAAAAUUAUAAAUUACUAAAACUAUUAAAUAUCCCAUAAUUUUUUUAUUGUUAUCAUUGAUUUAAAAUUUUGUCAUAAAAAAAUACAAACGAUCAAAAAUAAUAUUAGUAUAAAAUAUUUUUUAACAGAUGUCAAUGUUAAAAAUGUACUAUAUAUCUAUGUUAAUAUCAUUUAAACUUAAUUUUAUAACAUAUAAAAUAGAAAAAAAGUGUUUGUCUGGAUAAAUAAAAUUUAUUUAAGUAUGUAUACCAAUUUAAUUAUAUACGUAAUAGUUACUAAAUUUUUAAUUAUUCAAUAUAUAUUUAUUAUUUCAAAUAUGUAAAAAAUAUAUAAUACUUAACAAUAAUUUAUAUAUAAUAUUCAUUCCGCGCAAGGCGCGGAUCUUAACCUAGUAUAAAUAUAAAGUAUAAACUGUGUAAAACAGAACUAAAAUGAAGAGUUUAUAACACAAAUAAACUUUAUGUGUUUUUAUUACAUUCGAGAGCACAUUGUGCUACUGGGAUAUGGACAUUUUAUUAAACGUCAUAUUUCAUUGGUUAGUGAGUUUGAAUUUUGAAGAUACCAACUUAUGAUUGGUGGAUUCUUGAAUAAGUUUAGUAUGUUUAAUAAAAGGAUUUUAGACCCGUAAAAAAAUAUUAUAUUUUGUUAAUAUUGCCUUUCUCACUUCUAAACCUUAUCUCACGAAAACGACAGAGAAAAUAACUGACAACGGAGGAUGAAUCAGUGAAUUCAAACGAAAUCGAUAAUGACGGCAAGGAGGAAGCAAGCAGGAAAAGAGAUAGCCGAUAGUGAGUUUUUGCUUUUCCAAUUUUGGUUGGUUUUAGUGUUUAGAGUGUGGCUUGAAUUUGAUAAGUGUGUUGGCGUGUUGCAGAGGUGGCACCAACGGAGGAAGGAUCGGUGAAUGAGAGGUUACCGACGCAUCUGUGUGCGACCAACCGGUUCCCGAGUAAGAUGAAUAACUAUUAUUCGUCGCUGGAGUACCAACUGCUGGUGAGGGAUGUGCUAGAAGGGACCGACGAGAUUGAGAGGCUGUUGGGUUCUUGCUUUGGACAAUAUUUUAGGUUAUCGGUGAGGAAGUGUACUUUCUCGACGGAGGUGCUAGACGAUGAGCAUGAUUCUUAGGUAACUAGUUGUACACCUGUACACACACUUAAGGCUGUACACGUAACAUGUGAUGUACAUAUAUACAUUAGAAACGUAGGUGUACAUCUGAUGUACAUGUAUACAUUAGGAACAUAGGUUUGCAUAUGUACAACUAAUGACCUAGUUACAUGCUUGUAUGGUUUGAGUGGAAGUGUGAUUUCGUUUUGGUUUGCCUUGUUUCAAUGGUUGCAGGCUUACAGCUGAUUGUGCAAUUUAUGAUGGAAUAUGGGGAGUACAAGGAGGAUGACUACGUUUUCAUGGUCUUAUUUUGAAGAUAUAGAUUGUUGUUUGUUCAUGGACAAAAGUCAUAAAUCUUCAUUUUUAUUAAUUACAAAAUUAUAAGCAUGUUAAUUUAUUUUAUAAAUCUUUUUAUUUUUAUUUUCACAACACUCGUUUAUAUAACCUUAAGCAUUUUAGUAAUGGAUCUUUAUAAAUAAAUAGUGUACAUACGGAAAUCGUAUAAAGUUGAUGUACACAUGGAUAUCAUAUCAAAUUGAUGUACACAACACACAUGUACAACAUAGACAUCAUAAAAGUGGUGUACACAUGGAUAUCAUAUAAAGUUGACGUACACAUAAACAUCAUAUUAAGUUACAUGUUCAGAAAAUCUUACAAAAAGUAAUUAUUAGUCUUUUUUGAAAUUACAUCUAUUGAAGUGAAGUUCUGCAACCAUUUUUAUUAUGCCAUUUUAUCUAUCUAUUUCAUACAGCUUUAUCAUUUUGUGUUUACAACUAAUUUAUUUUUCUAUAAAUAUGUAAAUCCGUGUACAAAUCAUUUUUAAUAAAUACAAUAAUUCUUAAAAAAGUAUCAAUCUGUUAAAUAAAAAAGUAACUAUUAGUCUUCUUGAAAGUUGAAUAUAUUGAAGUUAAAUUCUCUCAACCAUCAUUUAUUAUGUCAUAUCAUCUAUCUAUUUCAUGCAGCUUUAUCAUUUAUGUGUUUACAACUAAUUUAUUUUUCUAUAAACAUGUAAAUCCAUGUACAAAUCAUUUCUAAUGAGCACAAGACAAAAAUCUAGAAUAUUAACUUUUAAAUAUCAAAAGAGUAAUUAUUAGUAUUUCUUGAAAGUUGAAUCUAUUGAAGUUAAGUUCUCUCAGCCAUCAUCUGUUACAUCAGCUCAUCUAUCUCUUCCAUGCAUUUUAUCAUUUAUGUGUGUUACAACUAAUUUAUUUUCUAUAAACAUGCAAAUCUAUGUACAAAUCAUUUUAAAUGAAAACAAGAAAAAUCUAAAAUAUUGACUUUAAUUUAAAAUAUCAAAAGAAUAGUUAUUAGUCUUAUUGGAAGUUGAAUCUAUUGAAGUUAAGUUUUUUCAACCAUUAUUUAUUAUGUCAUCUCAUCUAUCUAUUUAAUGCAACUUUAUUAUUUAUGUGUUUACAACUAAAUUUAUUUUUCUAUAAACAUUUAAAUCUAUGUACAAGUCAUUUUAAAUAAACACAAGAAAAAAUCUACUCCAUUCGUUUCAGAGUAGAUGAUGGUUUAGAAAGUUUUGAUGUUUCAAAAUAGAUGAUGUUUUCAUACUUCAAUGUAUUUUUUAACUUUAUCAAAAACUGUGCAACCAAUCAUAUUUUGUAGUCUGUUUUGUCAUUGGUUAAAUAAUUUUUAAUUUAUAUUUUAAUGAUAUUAUUUUAGAUAAGAAACAAGUUUCUUAAUAGUUGUGUCUUAUCCUAAAAUUUCAUAUAUUUUAAAAUAGAGAGAGUAAAAUAUUAACUUUUAAAAUAUCAAAAGAGUAAUUAUUAGUUUUAUUGGAAGUUGAAUUGAUUGAAGUUAAGUUCUGUCAACCAUAAUUUAUUAUGUCAUCUCAUCUAUCUAUUUUACCCAGCUUUAUCAUUUACUAGGGUCGGUGUCCGCGCUUCGUGCGGAUUACAUGUUUAAUAAAAGUCCAGCUCAAUUAAAAUUGGGGGUUUUGAAGUUUCUGAAAGGGUAAGUUAUGUUUUGUUUAUUUUAUAAUGCGAAGACGUUAGAAGCGGUAAUCAUUUUUUUUAAAACAACAGUAAGUUUUAAUAAUAAAUUGUUUUGAGGAAUUCAAUAUUCGUAAGAGAAAACAGUAUUUCAGUGUGCCUAUUUAAUUGACGUAGGAAUCAGUAACGUAAAAUUUUUAAAAGUUGAUUGGUGUCGUUUGCUAUGAGGCUUAAGAUAGCAGUUUAUUCCUCUUUUGGAAGCGUUGUAUGAUACCAAUAUCGUUGUCAAAGUAGAAGCGCGAUCUAGGUGUGGUUGUGAGUGAUAGUUUUCAUGAAAAAGUCAAAUAUUUGUAAGCAUUUAUUUUGACAUAAACUUUAUGUUUAGUUUAUUACCUUCAUGUAACCGUGGAAUAAUACUUGUGAUGAUUACGAUUUGGUUUUUCCUGGUAUAUAUGUGAUUUAACUCCCUGAAAUUAGAGGCCUCCUUGUCCCAUAAAGUUAGACUUACCAAUUUCGAUCUACAAAUAAUUAUUGUAUUAUAUUUUGUUUAGUUGUAAACCAAUUGUUAUUUAAUAAAAAGUUAGUACCUGUCUAAACGCAAUCCAAUGGUGAUUUUUGAAUCUGUGUAGUGGUUAUAUAAAUCACUUCUUUGGAUGAGGUAUAUGCGGCCAACAACAUCUGUAGGAAUAAUUUGGUUUUAAGGACAAAAAUUUAGUGUUUAUUUGUAUGUGAGAGAGUUAUUGGUUUUUUUUUUACCUGGGAGGAAGUUGGUUGCAUUUGCUAAGCUGAUCAACUGGUGGUAGCGUUGGGGCCGGAAUAUGUAUGAAGGGAUCGGUUGAAUGUUUUCUUGAAUCAGUGUAAUAAUUGUUGUCUCAUUGAUAUUGAUUAUGUAUGGUUUAACGGUAAGCAUGUACCGUUGGUUAUUGGGAAGAAGAUUAAAAUAUCUAAUGUGAUAAAUUUUCCCUUCCUCGAAGCGUUGGUAGAUUGUGUCAGACGUAGAAAUAGACACCCUCCCUUCCAUUAUUUGUUCCUGUUUAGUGGUUAAAAACCAUCAUUUGAAAUGUAGUUUGAAUAAUUAAAAGUAAAUAUUUUUAAGACAAACCUGGAUGUCAAGACAAAUGAAAGUUGUUCAUAGGAAAGCAAUUUUAUUUUUGUGAUUUGUGAUGGGCCACAUCCUAAUGAUCCUAACGAUUAUUGGAUGCGGUCUGAGGGUGUCGCCCCAAUUGUUUUGAUAUUCUGCUGCAUGUUCUGCACAUAUAAGAAUGAGAAUUAUUUUGUAUUGCCCAUCUUUUAUUAAUUUCAUAUUUUUUUGAAGUGAACAUAGUUAUGGUUUGUUUGUUUUUUUUUUUAAAUUAUUAACAUGGUUAUUUAAAAAUUAAAGUAGGCCGGCCCAUAAUUAUUUGAAUGAGGUCGAAGCAUAAGUAACUGGAACUGGUAGUUGUAAAUUUGUUGGGUGCAUUUGAUAGUAGAAUUUAGUUUUUUUUUAGAAAAUUAUAGUGAUUGUGUGUGAAAUGAGGGGGUUGUGUUAUUUUGGACGGACAAUUUUAAGAUGAAAGAAAACUUAGCCGGUUCACACAUUGUUAAAGGAAACAGUAGAAAUAAUAAAUUGUCUGAAAAAAUAGAAAAUUCAAAAGAAAAUAGUUUGACAGUUGAAAUAAGUAAUUGUCCGAAGGAAAUAGUUUUACGAAGACGGUGAUUUGGGUUAAUGGGCUGGGCUGCGAGAUUUUUUUUUACCUGGCCCACCGGCAAAUCGUAGACAAACCGAGAUUUUUGUAAGCGACAACGAAGCCCAAAUCUUUAUUGCAAUUUUAAUUCGAAAUCCAAUCCGCUAGUGACAUGGCAGUUUGAUAGGUGGAUAAUAUUUUGCCUAUGUGGCACUUCUAGAAAAGCUAGGAUUUAGCUUCUUUUAUAUAGUAGGAUGUGUUUACACUAAUUUUUUUUUUAGAUACGCAACUUUAUGUUCAAAUCUUUUAAAUGAAUUAAAAAAAAUCUUAAAUCAAACCUUUGAAAUAUAGAAACAAUAACUAUUAGUUUUUUGGAAAUUGAGUCUAUUGGAGCUAAGGUGGUGUUAUUCAAUGGUAGAUUUCAAGUUAAUUCUUUAGGUUUUAUAGUCUAAUGUUAUUCAAUGAUUCAUUUUAAAUAUUUUACUGAAAUCUAGUGUUAUUGGUUCUUGUAUUUGAAAUAUUACUAUUAAAAAACUUUGAAAUCUAGUGUUAUUGGUUCUUGUAUUUUAAAUAUUACUAUUAAAAACUUUUGAAAUCUAGUGUUAUUGAUUUUUAUAUUUACAAUUCUCUCACUUAAAGAAUUUAAAAUCUAUUGUUAUUCAGUCAAAGAUUUGAAUAUAACAUUUAAAAUCCUGUGUUAUUCAAAUUUGAUGGAUUCUUGCAACUUAUUUGAUUUGAAAGAUUUUAACUGAAUUUGGAGAUAUAUAUAUUUUUUUAAACGUCAACUUUCAUUACUUAUAUCAAACUUACAUGAUCCAUAUGCAAGAAAGUAUGUAAAAAUUGAGGUACAUAAUAAUGAAAUUGAAAAACUAUUUGGAGAUAUUUUCAUGUGAAAAAUAGAUCACUCAAAAUCUAACCUUUUACCUACAGAUUUCAAAAACAUUUUUGUUAUUAUUAUUGCAAAUGAAUAGAUCGUGCCUUUACUAAUUAUUGUUCGUCAAGCAGCAACCCAGAUCUCUCUCACGUUUCCAUGUAUCUCACUUUCAUCCAUCCAAAUCCAUGUGUCUUUUUUGCAAUUAUCCAUCUUUCUCUCACAUUUGUCUUGCAAAAAUAGCUACGUGAGGAAUUUGAUUGUGUUUUUAAAAAAAUAUUUCUAUUGGUUAAGUCUCGUCAUGAGUUCUUCAAUAUAUUCACAAACUUCAAUAGGUAUGCUUUAAAAACUACAAGUCUACAACCAGUCUAUCUUUUUUCAUGCAACUCCAGAAGUUAUGCGUUUAAAACAACUAAUUUGUUUCUUUAUAAAUAUGUAAAUAAAUCUCUUUUCAAAUCAGUUUAAAUGAGUACACAGUCUUUCUAUUUUAUUCUCUCUAGUGUCUCCCUAUACUCUUGCUUCCGUAUCAUUUUCUACAUAGUUGAUAUUUUAAGCAAUGGUGGAUCAAUCUCUUCUUCCAGCCUCUUCUUCCAGGCUUCCACACUCACCUCGUAUACUACUCUCUUUUUCUUUUAUUUCUUCCCAAGAAAAGAAUGUCUACAACAUUGUUACUUGCUUAACUAUUUUGUAAUCUCGUUGCAUGUUUGGUGCAGAACAUUCCUGUAGCUUUCUUCUCGACGCACAUCAAAGGAAGAAACGACCACAUCAAGAUUGCGAAACUGAGAACAGAUGCGUCUGAUAAAACUUGGAAAGUGAAGAUGGACGGCUCGAAGUUCACUGAUGGAUGGGAAGAUUUUGCAGUUGCUCAUGAUCUCAGAGUUGGUGACAUAACCGUUUUCAGACAUGAAGGAGAAAUGGUGUUUCAUGUCACAGCUUUGGGACCAAGUUUCUGUGAGAUUCAGUAUACAUCAUCCCACAACAUCAAUGACGAUACUCAUGAUCAGACCAACAAUAUUGGUAUACUUUUUGUUCUAUAAAAUGUACUCAGAUUCUGAAGAAAGAGAUGCAAAUUUAUGAUUAUUUUAAAUUGUAUUACAGUUACAGGAAACAGUUCAAGAGAGAAGAGGAAAAGAGUGAAGAAGAAUCCGAAACCAGUUCCACAAGCUUCAUUACACAGUUCUUGUUAUGUGGGAUCUGUCAGUGCGUCUAGCCUGAAACAUAAUAAGCUGGUGAAUACAAAACUUUGGUUUAUUCCUUUAUUUGUAUAUUUAUAUGCAUUGUGUGUUUGACUCUUGUGUAUAACGUUGGCGUUUUACAGUAUCUUGGGAGGGAGUUUGUGACUUCAAAUGGUCUAAACAAAGGAUGCAGUGAGAUAGUUUUAAAGAAUGAAGGUGGAGGAAGAUGGACUUUACCUUUGAAACAUUACAAAUCAAUCAACCAUACUUAUCUAGGACCAGGCUGGACCACAUUCUGUCAAGUAAACGGGAUCAAAGCUGAAGAUGCCUUCAUGUUUAAACUGGUUAGAACCGGGGAGAAGCCUGUUCUUUGUUUGUGCCCUGAAGAAUCAUCCCACCGUGACAAAACGCCAGUAGAGUGUCUAGAAGAUAGUGAUGAUGUGAAUCCUCUCUCCUCUAGUAGCAAGUCCAAAGAAAGUAAAGAGGAGAGUCUUGGAGACAAGAGAGCUUCAUCUUCAUAUAGUGAAGACCGAUUUUUGACAUUAACUCUUACACAAAAAGCUGUUAAACGCUAUCAACUGGUGAAGAUCAUAAACAAGUCUGCUUUAAGGUUGUCCCUUAUACUUGUUAGAUUUAGUGCUAAAAUCAAAUCUUUGUGCAGUUUCUUCCGAUGGGUUUCGGGAAGAGGAAUGGCAUCAACAAGCCAGGGAAGAUAACUCUGUUGGGUCAAGAUGGAGUAAAACAAGAGGUGGCUCUUAAGCAGAACAAAAGAGCUGGACAAAUGCAAAUUGGAAAAGGUUGGAGAGUGUUCCGUGAUGCUCAUGGCCUAAAGAUAGGACAACCCUUUGUUUUGGAACUCAUUUGGGAGGAUGAAGCAAGCCCCGUACUUAAGUUCUGCACAAAACAUUGAAACUUUUGUUUCCAGAGAAGAUUCCUGGUCUACUUGCUACUUGCUAUGCAUUAUUUAACUUAUCUGUCAAGUUUCCUUUAGCUGCAGCAGAUUGUUGGCUUCUUGACUAGAUGUAUGUCUACUUAUCUGAAUCUUGUUGUGAAUUCAAGAAAGAUUUAGAACUUUACUGCAACAAGGUUUUUUUCGAUCUUACACCACUAGUGUGUAGAGCAAGGCAACGUUCAUCUUUUAGUUGGUAACCUUUGAGAAACUGAAAUAUCACCACUUGGUGCAUCAAGAUCCCUUUUAAGACAUCCUUCUCCUCCUGGCUACAAGAAGAAAUAAGUCUUUUAGUUUCUUAUCCCAAUAUAAAAUGUGAGAACAGAGUAACUAAACUAUGAGAUCAUUUGUUAGCUGUUAAUGCACGGACCAAGUUAUGGGAGAACAAUGAUGAGAUUUUAAGUAAGUAAUAAUGAUCCUUAUGUUAACAAUGUGAAACAUGCACUUCAGAACCAGUUUGAUAGUAGCAUGAUAAGUUUAUAACUCCGAUCUUCUUUUUUGUAACUCAAACCCCAACUUAAUCACUCAAACCCACUUGAAAAUGUUAUACAAAGAAAGAUAGAUAAUACACUCAGAACAAUCCAAACUAACGACUACACUGAAGACGUUAAACCUGUGCACCGCAAGAGUCGUUUUACUUUGCAGAAUCAAUACCAAUCUCUAGACGUCGAUAACUCAGCAGACAUGUGUCAAUGUAUAUCUCGUCAUAUUUAUGAAUUUCAAAUAUAUAUAUAUAUAUAAAAAGGAAUUUCAAAUAUAUAUGUGUAUAUAUAUAUAUUUUUUUUUCUUUUUUUUUUUGUAGAAUUAGAGAAUAUGAAUAUAUUGUUGUGUUUUGAUGAGAGUUGUAUAUAUACAAAAACCAUAGACCUAUCUCUUUUAGGAAUAUAAUUUAUCUAAAUUUUAUGUCAUAUAUAUAUGGACUUCAGAUAGUUGGUCCCAAGAUACACAUUUUGCUAUCUAAUAUAUCUCAUAUAGUCUUUUACCAAAAAAAAAAAUAUAUAUAUACAUAUCUCAUAUAGUUUUUCAUACUCACAAGAUUGCCAAGAUAAAGUUUCUGGAAAAGAGAAAAGAUAAAAGUAAUCAUUUCAAAAGAUUCAAGAGGAAGACGACAAGUCUCAUAAAGCUUUCACCUUUAUCAAAAGUGAAUCCACCAUUCUGUUGCUCAGCAUAUAUAUAUAUAUAUAUUUUCAGUGAUUUAUUGAGAUAUUCUCUUGACGGGUUAAACAAUGAAGGAUCUAUCUCUUCACUCUCCAGUCAAACCACACUUCUUCCAGCCUCUUCUUCCCGGCUUCCACACUCACCUCGUACUACUACUCUCUUUCGUUUCAAGAAUACAACAAUGUUCCACUUGCUUAAUCUUAUUCCUUGUUUGGUGCAGACCAUUCCUGUAGCUUUCUUCUUGAAGCACGUCCAAGGAAGAAACGACCAUAUCAAAAUUGCCAAACUUACAACAGCUGCGUCCGACAAGACUUGGACAGUGAAGAUGGACGGCUUGAAACUCACCCAUGGAUGGGAAGACUUUGCAGUCGCGCAUGAUCUCAGAGUUGGUGACAUGAUCGUUUUCAGACAUGAAGGAGAACUAGCGUUUCACGUCACAACAAUGGGACCAAGUUGCUGCGAGAUUCAGUAUACUCACAACAUCAAUCAUAAUCAUACCAACAACAUCAUUGAGUCUUCUUCAUCAGAUAAUUCUCUUUUUGUAGCAAAAGUCUCAGCCUCGAAUCUAAGAUUAGAUCGACUGGUUAGAUUAAGCAAAAUAUAUCUUAAUAAUAGCUUUACUUAUGUUAUAUCUGAACUGGUUUAAUCACAUUCUGUGAUGGCAUUGUAGUAUUUGCCAAUGAGCUUUGCGAGGACAAACGGUUUGGACAAAAUGAGCGGUGAGGAGAUCAUUCUUCUUAACGGAGAAGGAAGAUCAUGGAGUUUAAAAUUGAAACACGACAAGUCAGACAUGCAUACUUUUGUCAGACCUGGUUGGAGAAGAUUCUGCGCUGAAAAUGGGAUGAGCCAUGGUCACUAUACAUUGAAACUCGUCCGAAACUCUGGACCACCGGUUAUUAAGUUGUGCGGCCAAGUGCAUAAUCGACCAAAACCAGUUCCAGUAGUAUCUUCAUUACACCAUUCUUGUUUUGUGGGAUCUGUCACUUCUAAUAGCCUCAAAACUGAUAAACUGGUGAAUACAUAAAACAUCAUUAGUGAUUAGUCUCUCACAAAGAGUAUCUUGAUAUUAUUAUCAAUAUUUAUAGUAAUUUAGUUUUAUAAUUACAUUUUAAUCUUAAAAGAAAUAGGUGUAUCAAUUAGAAGCUGACAUGUGUGUAGUUAGUCUCUUAAGAUAUAUCUAAAGUUUCUUGGGGAAGAAUCGAUUCUUCCUUUUAACAUCAUUUCUUUCCUACUUUUUGUCUUUUUAAUAAUUUUUUAUGCUAAGAAACUUGUUUGGAGACCAUCACUGCGGAUGGCCUAAAGUCACACUAUAGUUUCACACAUAGUGUGUUUGAGUCGUUUAUAUGAUGUGGUGUUUUUGCAGUAUCUUGGGAAGAAGUUUGUGAUAGAAAAUGGUCUAGAUAGAGGAUGCAGUGAGAUGGUUUUGAAGAAUGAAUGGGGAGGAAGAUGGAGUUUAGCUUUGAGAUUCUAUGAAUCAGCCUACCAGACUUAUCUUGGACCAGGCUGGAGAACUUUCUGUCAAGUAAACGAGAUCAAAGUUGGAGAUUCCUUCAGGUUUAAACUGGUUGGAACAGGGGACAAUCCUGUUCUCUUGUUGUGCACUAGAAAAACGCCAUUAGAAUGUCCAGAAGAGAGUAGUGGUUCAGAUACUAGCAGCGGAGAUGAUAGUAGCGAACCCCAAGAAAGUGAAGAGGAGAGUCUUGGAGACAAGAACAUAUCACAGUAGUGCGUUAAGAUGGAGAAAAAUGAAGAAUUUCUAGAGAUGCAGAACACCAAACGAAAGCCUCUUUGAGAGAAGAAGCUUGCUCAGCAGUAUUCUCUUGCUAUCCGUCAACUUUCUUUUAGCUGAAUAACUCAGAUUCGCAGCACUGUGUUGACUGCAUUUCUCUUGUUGUUUCAAUCUAGAUGUCUACUCAUUUAGAAAGGGCUGCCUUUGAUUAUUUAGAAGUUUCUAAUUUCUUAACUGAAUAAUCUUUUGCCCCAUCAAGACAUUGAUAUACUUUGGCUUUUGAGUAUAUGUCUGAUUGUCAAGUAAGGAGUGGGGGUGCGUGUGUUGAGACUUGAGAGCAUUUGAGUUGAUUGUUGAUUAGUGAGACCACGGAGGGGAUUUAACUUUUUGGAAGUUGUACUUUAGAUAGCGUUACAAUUCUGUUUGAUCUAAGACAAUUUAAUUGUUAGUGAUAUUUUGUUUUAGUAAUGAUUAGUGAUUUAGUGAGAAGUGAUUCACGCACAUUGAUCAAUCAAAGAGAGAUUCAACAACUAAAAGAAAGAUCGAUUUUUUGGGGGUCUGGAUCUCCUGCGGGAAUUAUUUUGAAGAUCCAAAACCAAAAAAAAAUAGUAUUUACUAGCAACACCGUAAGAAAAAAACUAGAGAAAUCUAUAAAGAUUGAAUUAGACCUCAACGGGGUAAUUGGUGAGUUCGCUCCCAGAAAUAUAGCUACCCCUACCUUCUCAUGUCAAUCCCACAAGCCUCUUAUCCAUUCUUAUUCGAUCACAUCAAGGAAGCUUGUAAGUGAGAAUAAAUCAAGAGGAAGUUUUGCUGUAGUGAAUUAGGCUUCUUUUAACAUUCCAUUAGACAAAAGUGGGCAUAUUAAAGAGAAAAAAGUGGGCAAAGGACCAAGAGAAGUUAGAAACUACUUAUUUUCAGCCCAAAAAAUGAUUAUACAUGUAACUAAACUAUCAGUAUAAUUUAACUCUCAUGAGAAAAAAAAAAUACCCAAUGGCUUGUAUUGAAUUCACUGGUAUAUAUUUUCAUUCAGACUACUAGAUUAUUUUUUGUUGGUGUUACACAUGCAACAUGCAAAUUUUUCUUACGUGUGUCCAGGGCCGGGUCAACAAUUUUUGGGCUCAUUGGCAAAAUGUUUUUUAGUAAUUUUGAAAACUCAAUAGGUGAAAUUCAUGUAAUUAAUUAAAGUAUUUCACUAUUUCUAUGAAAGUUCUACAAUAAACCUAGCUUUUUAAAUAUUUAAACUAAGUUUAGCUAAAAUUAUAUUUAUAUCUUAAUUUUGUGUGUUAUCAAGAAAAUUUUAAGUUAAUCUGUUUUAAUAUAAAAAUAAAAUUUUAUAUCACAAAUAUUCUUGGGCCAUGGGGCGGUAGCACUUACCGCUCUACCUUCUAAGAGAAUUUCCCAUCCAACUUCAAAUUCUCAAAUUUUGAGAUUUUGUCCCAUUCUAACUCAACUUCAAAUCUUCAAAUUUUAAAGUUCUAAAUAGUAAAACUUCAAAUUUGAGUUUUUACUAUUUAGAACUUCAAAACUAUCUUUUAUUUUUUUUGGUCCUCAUAAUUAUUUCUUUACACAAAUAUAUAUGCUAAGCUUAAUUUAUAAUAACUUAAGUACACCAAAAUAAAAUAAAAUAUAAUAAAUAUUAUGUAACAUUAAAAUAAAGCUCACAAAAUAGAAAAUAAAUUAAAUAAAGCUCACAAAAAAUAAAAAUACAUUCCAUAUGUAAUAAAAUUACAAAAUAAAAAUAAAAAUACAGAAAUAAUGCUUGAGUAUUUGGUAUUAUGUAUGUAUAUAAGUUUCUAAAAUUUGUGUGUGUGUGUGUGUGUUUUGUUUUAUUAUACAUGUAAUUUAUAUUAUCUUUUAUUAUAUAAUAUUAUAAUAUUAUGUGUUGUAUAAUAUAUUAAAUAUAUGUUUUAUAUGUAUUUGUGUAGUCUUAUCAUUAUUAGUUAAGCUUUACGCGCGGGUUGAAUAGUGCUCACUAGGCUUACUAGAUCAGCUUUCACCUGACUUUAACAAUCCUAGCUCAAUUAGGACGGAUUCAAGGUGAGAUUCAAGUGUUAACUUGUGCCUACAACUCCUAGGUCAAGGUUCUAGCUAGCUAAACUAGAAACAUGCAUUAAUGACAAUCCUAAUGAUGAAUAUCACAACUUAGCAAUCUAUAGUUAUGGCUAAUCCCUCAUAACCUAUUUAAACCCUAAACCUAACAAUCAAACUACUCAGACAUAGCUAAGUAAUUCAUAACAACAAUAAAGUAUAAAAACUAUAUAGAUAGAUAAUAGAUAAUAUAUAAUAAUGAAGUUCCAAUCACAAAUCUCUCUGCAUCUUCUCUCCAACUCUACUAAAAUCCUAAAAAACCUUUUGGUGUGAAAACUAGAAAACAAGAAAUCACACAUUGCCUAAAACAUGUUUGCAAACUAUAAAUAUUAGGUAAAAAACUAGUCAGAGGUAAUCUUGUAAAUUGGUGAAGUUUUGGGCUCUAAGUUGGCUGGAACCAAACAGGCUUCUGCGCGAUUCGCUGUCGAUCGAUAUUACAAGGUGUGCAUCGAUCGAUUAUUAUCUCUAAAUGUCGACCAUUGGUCUUGUUCGAUAGUCAGCUCGGAUGCUUUCUCCAAUUAUCUCUAAAAUGCUAAAAAAUUAUCAUUUUUUUUCCAAAUCACUCCUGGUUCUAUAAAUAUAGUAAAUCAACUCUAAAACAUAAUAAUUAGUUAUUAAAACACUUAUAAACUAUGGCUAAAAGUGGGUAAAAUCCAUGGCAUAUCAAUCACCUAACACUGACAUACGAUUUUCAUAGCUAUAUGAUUCGUUCUAUGGAGGAAGAGUUCCAAAAGAUUGUUGGUGUUAUGUGAGUUACAUCUUUUCGGUAGAAAAAUAGUGUGGCGCGUCUUGGUAACUUUAAAGUAAUCGAAUUAUAAAGCGUACCUCCUCUCUUGUUCCAAGCUUAACUUGCUUUCAUGUCACACUUGUAUUUUUUUUCUAUUCAUCCAACAUAUAAGCCAAUUUUUUUUGGUUCACUCAUAUAAGCCAACUUAUAUCACAAAUUUUCUUGUGUAGAGAGUAAGUGAUACAUUAUUCACUGAUGAAAACCUUUUUGUGAUCUUUUGCAGCGGGCCACUUUGGGGUUUGGUUGCUUUUUAACAUCAAAGGUAUGCUUACUAUACACUGAAAACAAAACUAAUGCAAAGUACUUUCAUUCUAUUUUUUUCUGAAGAAAAUUUAAACUCGUUAUAGUGGUCAUGCAUGCAUGCUUAGAAGUUCUUCAAUUCUAAUUUUAUGCGUUAGAAAACGCAAACUCAUUAAUGGUCAUGCAUACAUGCAUGAUUAGUAGUUCUUGUAAUUCUUAUUCGAAUUUUGUUGCUAAUUUUAUCUUAUUUGGUAUUGAGUAUAGUCUUCUACUACAGUUGAUUUUUACUCUUUUAUGAAUGUUUUAAGAGUUUCUUUGGUCAUGAUAAUGCAUAUAGGAUCGAAUCUUUAUUUCUGGUUAGCGAUAAUUCCAAUCACUGUAAGAACUAUUUCUCCAUUUUUGUUUUUCUUCUCUUCUAUGGAAAAUGAGUCUUUUAACAUCUCCCUGUUGCACUUUGGUCACGUUACCUCAAAGGGUAAGAGAGACAAUUAACGGUUGGGGAAAAGCAACCCGAAGAAAAAGACAGCAUGGGUUAUAUGGCGAUGAUUCGACUAUAAGAACCGAAACAAGCACAGUCGCAUCUGUUGAAGAAUACGAUCAGUUCUUAAUGUUCCUGAAACCUCUCCAGCUCAAUGUACUGAGCAUGAUAUGCAGCUUCUUCGGCAUUGGGAAGAUUCUAUCUCAGUACCUAAUGAAACAGAUAAGUGUAAAUAAGCCAUGACGCCGUUAAAAUACAGAAACAACAGAAUCACGUCCUCAUUGCCAGUGAAAAGAUAAUGCUAUAAGCUAGAAAAUUAUUAGCAGAAUCACUUUCAAAAUUUUGUUUUCAGAUUGUUUGUCUUUUAUAAUUAAUAAAUGUAAUGAUUUGAAAAUAUACUGUUACAUAAAACUUGUAAAUGUUCAUAUUUGUAUCUAUACUAUUAUUUGCGAAGUAAAUUUUUGGAAUCGAGUUCUUACGUUAAAAGUUAUAGUGGUUAAUAUCGUUUAUACCCUUAAUGAAUAAAAUGUAUAACUAAACUAAAAAAUAAAAAACGAAAUUUUAAGUUAUUUGAUUCGAUAAUUGAUUAAAAUUAAUAAUAGUAAGAGUUAUCCAACAUCUGAAAAUAUAAUUUUAAAAGAGAUAAUUUCUGUAUAUAUUGUAGUGUUAUAUGAAAAAGUCUUUUAGUAAAAAGCUAAAAACAUGAAUUAUAUAUAAAAAUUAAAAAAACAUGACUAUAUAACUAAUUAUUAAUCAAAUAAAAUUCUUAAUUAUAUAAUUAAAAUAGAGUAUUGAAUCAUCCAAAAUNNNNNNNNNNNNNNNNNNNNNNNNNNNNNNNNNNNNNNNNNNNNNNNNNNNNNNNNNNNNNNNNNNNNNNNNNNNNNNNNNNNNNNNNNNNNNNNNNNNNUUGAAAACUCCUAACAUCAAAUUGGCGCCGUUGCCAAAUUCUGAGUAGAUUUGAACAUUGAGAUUUAGUCACUUGCUUGAGACUAAGUCAUUUUUAUUUUCUUUUGUUACUGAUUCUCUUUCUUCACCUCCCUUUAAUCUACAGGUGUAUGAACUUGAGGAGCAGGGGUCCAUCAUACCUAGUUCCAAUAGCUGCAGACAUCAGAGCUUUAGAGAGAGAGUGUGCUAGAAAUAGAAGAGAAGAAGAGCAACAGGCUCUCUUGCAGAGAUUGAGUACUGAUAUGGGAGACAUACCUCAAAACCAACAGCGAGCAGCUCGACCCAUUGGCACUUACGACUGCCCCAACAUUCAUGGUCAUAGAUUGGGAAUCCGAGCACCUGCUGUGGCAGCCAACAACUUUGAGAUCAAGUCAGGACUCCUCAAUGUGAUCGAGAACAACAAGUAUCAUGGCUUGGCACUAGAAGACCCAUUUGAUCACUUGGACAGGUUCGACAGCUACUGUGGGUUGUCAAAAACCAAUGGUGUGUCCGAAGAUGCCUUAAAGCUCAAGCUAUUCCCUUUCUCUUUGGGAGAUAAGGCACGUCAGUGGGAGAAGUCUCUACCCAGCGACUCCAUCACCACUUGGGAUGACUGCAAGAAAGCAUUUUUGGAGAAGUUCUUCUCUAUUUCAAGAACUGCUAAGCUGAGAAGCAAGAUUUCCAGCUUUCAACAGAAGAACUUGGAAAGUUUCAGUGAAGCCUGGGAGAGAUUCAAGGGCUACCAAGCUCAAUGCCCACACCAUGGCUUCUCUAAGGAGAGCUUGCUGAGCACAUUCUACCGUGGUGCUCUUCCUAAGUACAGAGCCAGACUGGAUACAGCUAGCAAUGGGUUCUUCUUGGGGAGAACUGAGGAAGAUGCAGAAGAGCUGGUUGACAACAUGGUAAAGAGUGAUGCAGUCUACAGGGGAGACCACGACAGAGGUAGUAGAACAGAUGAUAAGCAGACGAGGAAAGAGAUCAAAGCUUUGGAAGACAAGAUCGACCUACUCAUUGCUGAAAAAGCAAUCCAAGAGCAGCUGAAGUUUGUUGGUAACUCCAAGCAGGAAGAUCCACUUGCUGUCAAUGAGGUUGAGGGUUUGGAAGGUCAAGAGGAGUUGUGUUUCAUUAACAACAAUGGUAGCUGGUACAAAAAGGAGCCCAACUUUCAGUACAACAACUACCAACAGAAAUCCUAUCCAAACAACCAACAGAGUGGUUAUCCGCCAAGAAACAACCAGCAAGGCAGCUUUCAGCCUCAGCAAAACCCCUCGUCUGGUUCCUCUGCUCCUCAAGAGAGCAGCACUGAUACCUUACUGAAACAAAUCUUGGAGUCUCAGACUAGAAGUGAGAAGCAUGUUGGUUAUGAGUUGAAGAACCUUCAUACCAAGAUUGAUGGGAGCUACAAUGAGCUCAACAACAAAUUCUCACACCUUGCUUCUACAGUCAGGAAUUUAGAGAAUCAGUUUGCUUCCAUGAACACUCACCAGAAUCGCCAGCAAGGAUCUCUACCUGGAAAGUCUGACCAAAACUCCAAGGAGGCCAAAGCUAUCACCCUUAGGAGUGGUAAGCAGUUACCUCCUAAAACCCUCACCAAGGAUGCUGAGAAACUAGGUGAGGGGGUUGCCAUCAACAUAGAUGAUGAAGUGGUGAUUGUUGAUGAGAAGAUCAAUGACGAGAUCUUGGAAAAGAUAGUGGAAGCCAAAGGUAAAGGAAAGGUUGGAGAGGAGAAGAAGACAGUAAAGGAUGGUGAAGUUGUUACUCCAGCAAGUGAAAGUUCUUUUGUUCCUCCUCCCUAUGAACCCAAACUUCCAUUCCCUGGUAGAUUCAAGAAGCAGCUGCUAGAGAAAUACAAAGCUCUGUUUGAGAAGCAAAUGAGUGAAGCUCAGGUUGCAAUGCCCAUCAUCGAUGCUUUCAUGUUGAUUCCUCAAUACAACAAUUUCCUGAAAGAUGUUGUAGCUGCAAAGAAGAAGGAGAUGGAAAGCAUGAUGAAUCUUACCCAUGAGUGCAAUGCCAUCAUCCAGAGGCUUGAUGUUCCAGAGAAAUUAGAGGAUCCAGGAAGCUUCACACUACCUUGUGCUCUUGGACCUAUGGUAUUUGAGAAAAGUCUCUGCGAUUUGGGAGCUAGUGUCAGCUUGAUGCCUUUGUCUGUUGCAAAGAAGCUUGGAUUCACUCAGUACAAGAAGUGUAGACUCUCUCUGGUGUUAGCUGAUCGUUCAGUGAAGUACCCUGUGGGCAUCUUAGAGGACCUCCCUGUGAAGAUUGGAAGGUAUGAGAUACCUACAGAUUUUGUGGUGCUUGAGAUGGGUGAGGAGGCUCAAGAUCCAUUGAUUCUAGGAAGGCCAUUCUUAGCUACAGCAGGAGCUAUUGUUAAUGUGAAGGAAGGCACGAUUGAUCUCCAUUUGGGUAAAGAGAACAUCCUCCACUUUGACAUCAAGAGGAAAAUGAGGAAACCAACUGUGUUCGGGCAAGCCUUCUACAUUGAAGAGAUGGACACCCCUGCUGAUGAGCACCUUGAAGAGUUACCACCUGAGGACGACGAGGAGGGAGCAUCUCCCUCUACUCAUUCCCUAUAGAAGGUAACCCACCACACUCCCUUGUAUAUACCAUUUCAUUUUUGCAUAUUAGUCUUCUUUUCGGUAUCUCUCUCUCUACUUGACGACACAGAGACUGUGUCACUCAAGUUUGGGGGAGGUACCAAGUAUUUGAUCAUGUUUGCUUUGAUGUUGUUUCAUUGAGUCAUGCAUGGCAUACCUAUUUAAAAGCCUCUAGCUCAAGUUUUGAAAGUCUUGGCCCCCAGCCUAAAAAAAAAAAAAAAAAAAAGGAAAAAGAAAAAAAAAAAAAGAAAAAAAAAAGAGAAAAGAAAAAGAAAAAAAAAAAAGAAAAGAAAAAGGGGCUAGCAAAGUUGUUAGGAGCUAAGAAAUAUUUUGAGGUUCUGAAAAAAAUCCCUUGUAGAUUUCAAGGAGAAGGAGUUAAAGUUCUUAGGAUCUUUUGGUGAGAGAUGAGAGUUGGGUUUGACAUUUGGGAAUGAUUGUGUAAUUGUAUGUUUGGGAAAAGGGUAGAACAAUGGAGAUUGAGCAUUGUAAGCAUGAGUUGAUCUUUUUCUUAGAUAUAUUAUGUGCAAUGUCAAGUCUACUUGUUUCGAGAGUAAACCACCUUAAAGAUCAUAUGUUUUGAACCUCUUGAAUCACUUGAAUAAAAACCUUCUCUUACCCAACCAAAUGAUUUGGACCAACUGACCAUUUGCAAGAAUUCACCUAAUGUUUUGUGCUUAAUGAAUGUGAGAGUUGGUUGAUUUGAAUGUGUGGAUGCUUGAUGAUGAGUGUAAGAGCAAAAAGAGUUGAGAUAGGCCUAGAGAAGCUAGAGUGUAAUAAGAGAGUGUGCUAGUUGUGUUUCUUUUGGCUAUGUGCUCCCACCUUCAACCUCUCUCCUUAUGAGUUCUAGAAAGUUCACUUGUGGACAAGUAAAAGAACAAGUUUGGGGGAGUUGAUAUCUUGCAUAUUUACAUUGUUUUAUCCAUUCAUCCAUGAGCAUUUUCAUCAUAUAGAUUAGGAUUUAGCCAUGUCUAGGUUGCAUUUUGCAUUCAUUGUCCUUAUUAGGUGUUGGAGUGUGCCAUGGAGUGAUUUGAGAUGUUUGGGAGCAUUGUGAUCCAAAAGGAGGUGAAAGAUGAGCAUGGAUGGAGCCUUUAGAGAAAUCUCCUGUUGCUAAGAUUUUGUGGAGACACAGAAAAUUGAGUUAGCUUUCUAAUGGAAGUGGUUUCAAGUCAUUUGGAGAUGUAAUGAAGGAGUUAUGAUCAAUUUACUAGAGGCAUAUCCAUCCUGGUCGAGCAUCGCAGAGUGACCUCUCAGAGCGACCUACCGAGGUCGCUCCCAGCCAGAGCGACCAGCCAGAGCGACUAGCUCAAGUCACUCCCAGCCAGAGCGACCAGCCAGAGCGACCAGCUCAAGUCACUCGCGUUUUGACGCGCCGAGACACGAAAAAACGCGUCGGGAGUGACCUCCUGGAGCGACUAUGCUAGGUCACUCCGGGUGUUUUGCUUGGACGAUUUUUUAUGUUAUUUCAGGGACCUUUUGGUCAUUUGUUUUGAUGUUUUACACUUUCUAAACCUAAGUUAAGUACUUUUGUAAGCCAUUGGAGGCAAAAUAAUCUCUUUUCUAGAGGAGAACUAGUAAAAAACCUCUUUUGAUUCAGAUUUCAUUGCUUUCAUCUUGUGUUCUUGUUGAAUUCUUAUCUAUUUCUCUACAUGGUUAAUCUAGAAUCCAAUAUGGGUUUAAGAGGAAUCAUGGAGAUUAGUGAGUAAUCACCUUUUGAAUUCAUGGGUUAGGGAGAUUAAGGGUGAUUAGGUUAGUUCUAGGAUGUUUUAGUGUAGAUCAUUCUUGUUCCUUGCUAGUAGAGUAUUCAUAAUGCAUCUUCUGAGUUGGCCACUCAAAAGUUGAUCAAUAGAUAUUUCCCACCCAAAAGGUGUUUGAUGAAAUGCCUGAGACAACUCUCCUAGGCUUUUAGUAUACUUUGCCAAAGACAUUUGUUGUUAAAGAUGCUAAGAUAGCUAAUAGACUUGUUAGUAAUGAUUGCUUUCAUAUUAUUCAACCAAAGACAUUUGAUGUUUGAGAUAUGUUAGCAAAUGAGCAUUCAUCUAGACAUAGAGCUUGCUUAGAAUUGUGUCUAGGCUUAAGGUUGAUAGUUUGAUUGAUCAUUUGCCAUCCUUAGUUCGAUACUUGAUCACCCAAGGUCUAAUCCCUAUGCCCAUGAGUUCUCUUUUCCCUUAGUCAAGAAAGUAUCAUUCUGUUAUUGCUUUCUAGUUUAGUAGUAGUUUAAAACCCAUCUAAAUCAUUGGUUGCACUUAGAUUAAGUGAGUACUUGCAUUCUCAGUGCUUUGAUAUCCCUCAGAACUGGUUCGACAAUCUUCUAUACUACAACAUUUGUCUUAGGAGCCUUGAAAACUCCUAACAUCAGACUGAGGCCGAGAGAAGACCGGUGCGUGAUCGGAUCCUUUGAGCUCAAAAACCUUUUCAGGCGGGCUCAAUUUGUGUUCAUUGCCUCCUGAAGAGGAACCGAUACAGCGUAAUCCUUCAUGGUUUUUAUGUAGAACACGUGAAGCUUUUCACCAACCGGUGCGAACGGGAUGGGUCUUAUGUAUACCGAUGCCAAUGCAAUGUCCUAUACCAAAAUGAAAGAUUAGAUUCACUAAUCAACCGAAUUGUAACGGUUCGGUUUGUAUUUACCUUUGGAGGGCUCUGAUUAAAUAUAAUUUUUUUUAAGCAAAGAUCUGUCGAAAUCAGCGGCGGUUGGAGGGUCUUUUUGCCGUUGGCGUACAAGAAGAUCUGAGCUUGUUGCAUCAGAUCAUUUGAUCCCAGCUAAAAAAUAUAAUGAAUGCAAUUAAAAAAGAGGAUGAUGAGCAGAAGACAAAAUAAAGUAAAAUGAAAAAUGUACCUUUUGAUUAAAGAGAUCAAGAGUGCUUUGACCAUUAGCCAGCAUAACAGCAGAGAUAAAGACAGCUUUAGAGAUUUUAGUAGGAAACAUCUCCAUCGCAUAAGACAUACAAUACAAGCCCCUCCAAAAUCAUGCCUCAUCAAGAUCACCUGUAUUAUUUAUGUAACAUGUUAUGGUCUUAAAUUAAACAUGAUCUAACCAGUACUGGAUCUAACUGUUGUAAUUAAUGCUCAAAAAAAGGUUGGCAGUAGAUGGUGACGUUGUUGGUGUCAAUAGAGCUAACACCAGAACCGGUUAAGUCACGGCAUCUACUUGAAAACCAUGUUUCUCCAAGAGUGUUAUGGUUUUGUACCAACACCAAACCCCGACGACGCCUCCACCAUGAACCAGCACGAACCGCUUCGUCUCUGUUAGUGUUUUAUCUUGAUUAUAUCUAUACGAUUUCGACUGAGAAGUUGGUUCGCGUUGUAUCUCUACUUCAGUUUGAUCGAGAAAAGUAAAACGCAAUCAACACGAGAAUUGUUUACCCAGACUUCGUUGCCUACUGUCUGGGGAGAGAUCAAAACUCUCAAGCAAUCACUAGCUCAGAAUCAAUACAAAGACUCGGUUUCUUUCUACACAAGUAAACGGAUCUCACCGAGUGACAAGUGCAAAGAUAACCUCUGAAAUACACCACCGGUAAUCAGAUACUCCUUUGGCUAGACCGGGAGCAGCUCUUCACCGUCUCCGUCGCGAUCGUUGCCGAGAUAAGUCUCUUUCUCUCUCUGAUUCUGUUUCUCUAGUUCGUUAGCCUCUCUAACAAACUCUCAUCUCUCGAUGAUGAUGAUGACGAUAACAUAUCCUCAUUAAAGGAAACUGUGUCGUUUCUGCUAAUGGGUUCUGAACCUUUUCCUUGCAGGUGUAGCUGAUGGGCCUCGACACAGGCCCAAGUUCUAAAACCAGCUUGGAUGAGACGACAAACACUCACAAACUCCACCUUUGUUGGUUCUCCUGUCUGAAGCUCCACCUCUCUCCUGCGAUACGAAGCCCUAGCCCCUUUCACCUUUGAUGAAAAAACUCCACCGAAACCAAUCAGUUUCCUGAUGAUCCAUCUCCAGUCCUCUUCUCUUUGACUUAAACCAGUCAAACGCCUCAACUUUUACCACCGAGACUUAGAAACAUGUAGACCUAAAUCCCGCUCUACCUUCUUCUUCCUUUUCCACAUAAACCCGUGAAAAACCUUAUCCUCCAUCUUAACCCUUUCAGAUUAUUGACAGAAAAUUUCAAGGAACCAAGCUCCGACUCUCCAUACACCCCUCACACGAAGAACUUGAAUCUCCAUCAGAUCUUCUGUAUGCAUGUGUAAGACGCCUUCUUUGCUUCCCCCUUUUUUUUUUUUUUCUACUCGUACUUCACCACACGAGUUGAAGUCGAUUCGUUUUUAAUUCUUCUUUAUCUUCGAGGUAACUCAACCGACAAAACUACCCCGAGCUCCACCUCAACCUAUCAGGCGAGGACUUUGGCCAACUCCAGACACUUCUGAAAAGCCGGACCAGGUAAACACUUAGUCAAGAAAUCAGCUGCAUUUAGGGUAGUAUGCACCUUGAUUAGGUUAACAGAACCCUCGUGGACCUUGUCUCGAAUGAAAUGGUACUUAGUAUCCAUAUGCUUCGUUCUGCCAUGAUGAACUGCAUUUUUAGCUAGACAUAUAGCACUCUGUGCAUCACAGUAUAGCUUGUAACUCUUAAAAUUGAACCCCAAUUCACCGCAAAUCAUCAUCAACCAUUUACCUUCCUUAGCUGCUUCAGUGAGAGCCAUAUACUCAGCUUCUGUGGUUGAUAACGCAACUACAGACUGCAGUGUGGCUCGCCAACUGAUAGUAUUCCCCCCAACUUGAAAAAGAUAGGCUGAAACUGAUCUUCUGCGAUCCAAGUCUGAAUUGUAAUCUGAAUCGCUGUAGCCAACAAUUUCAAACACUUCUUGCUUAGUGAAUGUUAGACACAUAUUCAACGCUCCUGUUAAGUACUUGAAAACCCAUCUGACUGCAUCCCAGUGAGCUCUUCCUGGUUGAGACAUGUAUCUGCUGAUCAGACAAAUAGCAAAUCCUAAAUCAGGUCGAGAACCAAUCAUUGCAUACAUUAGGCUUCCAACAGCACUAGCAUACGGAAUCUUGUCCAUGUAGUUAGCUUCUUCCUUGAUCUCUGCAUCAGUUAACUUUCUCAAUUUAUGCUGGGAACUUACUGGUGUAACAACUGGUUUUGUUCCCUGCAUAUUGAAACUUUUCAGUACUUGUGUCAAAUAUUUUUCUUGCGAAAGCUUUAGAACCCCAUUCUUUCUGUCACGUAUGAUGUCCAUCCCCAAGAUACGAGUAGCUCUUCCCAAAUCUUUCAUUUCAAAUUCAGAUUUUAAGCUUUCCUUCAACUUCUGAAUCUUCUUCAUAUCUUUUGAUGCCACUAGCAUAUCAUCCACGUAGAGCAGUAAGAACACUUUCUCUUCUAAUGUCUUUCCUUUGAAAUAGACACACUGAUCAUGAAUACUCUGAGUGUAGCCUUGUCUCUUCAUAAACUCAUCAAACCUUUGAUUCCACUGUCUAGGAGACUGUUUCAAACCAUACAAAGAUUUCUUGAGCAAACACACUUUCGACUCAUCUCCUUUCCUGAUGAAUCCUUCAGGCUGACUCAUGUAGAUUUCCUCAUCUAGAGUUCCAUGUAAAAAAGCUGUCUUUACAUCUAGCUGUUCUAGUUCCAUGUCAUAGUUAACAACCACUGACAACAACAGCCGUAUUGACACAUGCUUUACCACUGGAGAGAAAAUUUCGUUGUAAUCAAUACCCUCUAUCUGAGUAAAGCCUUUAGCCACUAAACGAGCUUUGAACCUUGGUAGUUCCACUCCCGGAAUCCCCUCCUUGUACUUGAAUAUCCACUUACAACCAACAAUUUUCUUCCUUCCUGGUUUAUCAACAACCAACCAUGUAUUGUUCUUAGCCAAAGAAUCAAUUUCCUCUUGCAUAGCUUUCUUCCAAUGUAUCCAGUGCUUACCUCUUAUUGCUUCCGCCACAGUCUUGGGUUCUUGUAUGUCAACGUCUUUUGCACACAUCAACGCAUAAGCAACAACAUAAUCUCCCCCCUCUUCGUACAUUGACGGUUUCUUUAUGGUUCUCUUAGCUCUGUCUCGAGCCAGAACAUAAUCACUCAAGUUCUCUGUAGAAGUUUCCCCUGGCGUAUCCUCUGUUUCGUUCUGUUCCUCUGUUUCAGAUUCUGAAUUUUCUUCUUCUGACUCUGAACUGGGAGCUUCAUUUACUUCUGACAGAGCUCCACCUGAACUAGAAUCCUCAAAGAUUUUGUCAAAGCUAAAGGAAACUUUCUUUCCCUUCCUUUCUCUUGUAGACUUCUCAAGGCUCUUUUCAACAGAAUCUUUAAACACCCUAUCUUCAUGGAAGAUAACAUUUCUGCUAAUUGUACACUUACCAUCCUCUGGUAACCACACUCUGUAGCCUUUUACGCCUUGGGGAUAUCCUACGAAGUAACCCUUUAAAGCUCUUGGACUCACUUUAUCUUGAACCACAUGAACAUACGCUUCACAACCAAACCUUUUAAGAUGAUCAAAAACCACUUUCUUUCCUGACCAAACUUCUUCUGGAAUCUUGAAACUCAAUGACGAUGUUGGAGAUCGAUUAAUCAGAUAUACUGCCGUCGACGCCGUUUCUGCCCAAAACUGUUUUCCAAACCCUAUCUCAGCUAACAUGCUUCGAACCUUGUUCAUAAUCGUUCUGUUCAUUCUCUCUGCUACUCCGUUUUGCUGAGGAGUAUAGGAACAAGUGUUAUGACGUUUAAUCCCUGAGUUCUUGCACAAUCCAUCAAAAGCCUUGUUGCAAAAUUCCAAACCAUUGUCUGUCCUUAAACAUUUUACACGCUUACCGGUUUGAUUCUCAACAAGUUGCUUCCACUCUUUGAAACUUUGAAAUGCUUCAUCCUUAGAUCUUAGGAAAUUAAUCCAAACCUUUCUUGAAUAGUCAUCAAUGAAUGUUAUGAAGUAUUUACAGCCCGCAAGACUCUCUUCAACACUUGGUGAACCCCACAAGUCUGAAUGGAUGUACUCUAAUGGCCCUUUAGACGUGUGCUUUCCUUCCUGAAAACUCUGCUUCUGUGCUUUUCCGAGAACACAUUCUUCACAAAAAUCAAGCGUAUGCACUUCUUUUCCAUCAAGAUAGCCACCUUUGACUAAUUCAUUCAUGCAUUUUAACCCCAUGUGACCUAGCCUCAAAUGCCAUCUCUUUGUCGUAUCAACAUCUGGUCUAGCAACUGCAGCAAUUCCCUUUUGCACACUUCCAUUUAGAAAGUACAAACCAUCCUUGUAUGUCCCUGUGAUCACCUUCUUCCCAUCUUUAGAGAAAGUAACGUUGAAUCCAGCUCCUUCAUAACUGCACCCGCUCUUUUCUAACUGUCCAAAAGAUAUCAGAUUUCUACCCAUCGUGGGCAUAUACCGCACAUUAGUCAGAAUCACUUCUGUCCCGUCUGGAUUCACUAUCUUCAACUUUCCAAUUCCAGCCACUUCACUAUGAGUAUUGUUCCCCAUUAGGACUUUCCCACCAUUAACUUCUUUAAAGUCAAACAGAGCUUCUUUAUCUGGUGUGAUAUGAAAUGUGCAACCGGAAUCCAGGACCCACUGAUCACGCGUAUCAUGUAUACUUGCAGUUAAGAUCAUAGGUUCCUGUCUCUGAGCAACAUUUGCAUUCUGCUGUUUGUUCCCUUCCUUUCUCUCUGGGCAGUCCCUCUUGAAAUGACCUUCUCUGCCACAGACCCAACACUCUCUUGGUUUAGCUGGUGUCUGUGACCUAGAGCCCUUUCUUGAACCGUUAUCUCUGCUCUUACUUCUUCCUCUCCCUUGUUUCUUUCCUUGGUGCUUAUCACCUUUUCCUUGAGAUGCCAUCAGUCCCUCACUAGCUGAACUUGACUUUCCAACUAGUCCCUUUUCUCUUAACUCAGCUUCCUUUGAGUAAGCAGAAGUAGUAACUUCCUUUAAAGUCAGUGUCUCUUUGCUGUUCCCAUACUUCAAGGUGUGAACCAGGGAGUCGUAUUGAGACGGUAAGCUUGAUAGCACUUGUAUGGCUUGAUCUUCAUCAGAUAUAAUGAUGUUAAGACUUGCCAAGUCAUCCACCAACUUUAGAAAUCCAUCUAAAUUUUCUUCAAUCGAUUUCUGCUCUGACAUCUUGAAGCUUGCAAAGCUUUGCUUCAGGUAGAUCCUAUUUGGCAGAGUCUUGGUUUGAUAAUCAGCCUCCAGUGCUUUCCAAACCCCCAUAGCCGUCUGUUCUUUCAUCACUUUCCUCAACACAAUAUUAGUAAGGCUAGAGCAUAUUAGAUUUCUCACUCUAGUAUCCUUUUCUUUAGCUUUGGGAUCAGGUUCCUCUUUGGCUUCCAGCUUCAAGUCCUCAUCAUCUUUCUCCGAUGAUUCUUCACUUGAUUCAACUUGCAGCACCUUACCGAGUCCCUGUAACUCAAGCUGCAUAAGCAUCUUGAACUUCCACAUCCCAAAAUCACCUUUACCAUCAAACUUCUCCAUCUUGAACUUCGUAACAGACUCUAUUAUCAAGAUACGAGCUCGUAACACACAGAUCCACAGAAAAAACACUUAGGAUCGACUGACGCCCUAGAUCACGAUCACUCGCAAUCACCUCCUGCACAAUAACCUUGCGCUCUGAUACCACUUGUUAGUGUUUUAUCUUGAUUAUAUCUAUACGAUUUCGACUGAGAAGUUGGUUCGCGUUGUAUCUCUACUUCAGUUUGAUCGAGAAAAGUAAAACGCAAUCAACACGAGAAUUGUUUACCCAGACUUCGUUGCCUACUGUCUGGGGAGAGAUCAAAACUCUCAAGCAAUCACUAGCUCAGAAUCAAUACAAAGACUCGGUUUCUUUCUACACAAGUAAACGGAUCUCACCGAGUGAAAAGUGCAAAGAUAACCUCUGAAAUACACCACCGGUAAUCAGAUACUCCUUUGGCUAGACCGGGAGCAGCUCUUCACCGUCUCCGUCGCGAUCGUUGCCGAGAUAAGUCUCUUUCUCUCUCUGAUUCUGUUUCUCUAGUUCGUUAGCCUCUCUAACAAACUCUCCUCUCUCGAUGAUGAUGAUGACGAUAACAUAUCCUCAUUAAAGGAAACUGUGUCGUUUCUGCUAAUGGGUUCUGAACCUUUUCCUUGCAGGUGUAGCUGAUGGGCCUCGACACAGGCCCAAGUUCUAAAACCAGCUUGGAUGAGACGACAAACACUCACAGUUUUGUACCAACACCAAACCCCGACGACGCCUCCACCAUGAACCAGCACGAACCGCUUCGUCUCUGUUCCUUCACCUUAUUCAGCUCCUGUUACGCAUACAAAUGUCCCUCACCAUGUCACGACAUACUUCAGCCUUUUUUACCUUUCUAUUUACGUGUGAAAAAAUUAUUUUCAAAAGGCAAUUCAUGCAAAGUUAAAGGAAUUUUUUUUUUUGUAACUGAAGUUAAAGGAAUUAACAUUUACAAAAAUUGUGAAAUGUGAAUGCAAACUAUAUUUGACCAAAUUAUGUUUAAAAUACUAAUAAAUUGAAGUUUAAUUUUGAUUAACGUAUAUCCUAAAAUAAACGCAAAUAAACAAUCCUAAUCAUCAUAAGUUUAUUCAUUUGUUUUCUAAUAAGUGAAAUGCCUGUCUUGUCUACGAGCUGGUUAGGCUUGAACAGUUCCCCUUUUUCUGAAUUUUCUAUGUUCUAGUUUCUCCACCCAAAGGAGAAGAGAUUGUUUAUAGAUGCAUUACUACAUGUUACAACGUUUGUUCGUGCUUGCCUCUGUUGGAGCAAUGAAACAGUUGAGAUUUUCACGUCGUGAAAAAGGCCUUUGCAUGAGACUUGGUCUGACUUGGUAUUGAGGAAUAUAUAUAUGAGAAUUGUAUUUUUUUGACAAUAUCUGAUAACUAGGUGUUUUGCCCGCGAUGCGGGCUUAAACAUUUUUAUAAUUUUUUAAAAGUUCUUUGUACACUAUAUUUNNNNNNNNNNNNNNNNNNNNNNAUUCUAUUUUUAAUUAUCUAAUUAAGAUUUUUAUUUGAUUAAUAUUUAGUUAUAUAAUUCAUGUUUUUAACUUUUUACUAAAAUACUUUUUCAAACAACAAUACAAUAUAUAUACAGAAAUUAUCUCUUUUUUAAAUUAUAUUUUCAGAUUUUGGAUAAUUCUUACUAUUAUUAAUUUUAAUCAAUUAUCUAAUCAAAUAACUUAAUUUUUCUUUAUUUUUUAAUUUCGUUAUACAUUUUAUUCAUUAAGGGUAUAAACAAUAUUAAUCAUUCUAACUUUUAACGUGAGAGCUCGAUUCCAAAAAUUUACUUCGCAAAUAAUAGUAUAGAUAUCCCAUAUAUAUUAAAACAGAAGCAUUGUAAUAAAUGUAUUUACACUAUAAUAAACACGUGGCAACCUCACAAUGAUUUGAUAAUAAUUAUGCUAACGCGUUCACACUAUAUUCAUAAAUGUGUUCACACUAUGUACUUUGCGAUUUUUUUUAAAUAUAAAACUCACAUACAUUGUUCCAAUAAAACUCUAAAUUUUUCGGUUCGAAUAAAAAUAGAUAACGAAUCAAAAACCAAACUAUAUAUAUAUUAUUUUUUAUUGUAUACGGAUAAAGUUGAAAAAAAUAUUCAUAAAUUUUGAUUCGAUUCGUUAUCCGUUUUGAUUUGAACCAAAAAAUCUGGAUAUCUGUAACUCUACGAAACAAAUCAAAUACUAAAAUACAAUAUCCACAAAUGAAACAAAUCACAAAAACCAAUAUUUUUAGGAACAUAUAUCUAAUUCGAUCUGUUAUAUGCAUAUAUAUAUAUAUAUAUGUAAAGAAUUAUAUAUAUAUAUAUGUUAUAUAUAUUAUACUUUAUAUCAGUUUUACAAUAUUUUUAUGAAUUAAAUUUAUUAUAUUAGGAAAUAGAAUUUAAAAAGUCAAAUAAUGUUUUAUUUUAUUUACGGAUCAAAUCAGAUAUUCUUUAAAAUUCUAAAACAUUUCGGAUAUCCGAGUCACCAAAUAUCUAGGUGGCUAAAGAUCGAAUCGACACGAAUGCUUCCAAAUACCUAGAUAUUCGAUAUGUGACAACCCCUAUUUACGGAUACAAUUUUAUUUUCUUUAAAUGAAAAAAAAUGACUAAUGUCAAGGCCUUUUUUAUUUUAAAUUAAUUUUAUCUUUCAUGUAUUAUUUUGAACAAAAAUGUCAUUUAAUAUUAAUUAACAAUAUCUUUAUAUAUUUGUCAACUAUUUUUAUAUCCUUUUUACAUGCACAUACAUGUGCACCAUGAUGUGAGCACCUUGUAACUAAGUAUUCAGCACAACUGAAGUAUCGAUUUUUUUUUAAAGUUGAAAUAUUUUUUCUUAAUGCUUCUUUCACUACCAACCAAAUUGUAGUGAAAUGAUAUGUCUUAAUAAUUUUCAAAUAUAUAUACACAUAAAUAUGUAAAAUAGUAUUGUACAAUUUACUGAAAUUAUCAAAUUAUGUACAAAUACUAUAUUACAUAUGUCUAAUAUUAGCAAAUAGUAUAUUGCCUAAAAUUUACAGUUGCCGACUGCCGGAACAUAAUGUAAUGAACAAACAUUACAAAGAAUGCAUGGGAUCCCAUCACAAUACUUCCUUGUAAUGCUUCAACAACUCCAAAUGGUCGUCCUCUAGGCAGUCUUGAUCAGCUCAAUCGAACAGAGGUUAAAGUAGUUAUUUACUCCUUUUGUUCCAGCUAGUUCAAAUCCAGUUUUGAACAAUCAACGUGGUGUUAGUGCAAAGAUGACACCACAAUUGAGUAAUGCAGAAGAUAAAUCAAGAGACAAAAUAGAUACAAGCAAUCAACUAUGCUUUAUUAGAAAUCGCCUAAACAAUCUAUUACAAGACUUGCUUAUCAGCUUUUACACGUCAGUAUUAACACCCUAACACACGUUACUGACAGAUUCCUAAUCUACCCAAACAUGUCUCUUUCCCGUCAGUACUUCAGCAUCUGCUUCAGCACGACCCAAGAACACCCCUAAGGGAUUUUCACCCUUCCUCUAUAAUAAUAGCCAGUGUCUUAUGGAAUACAGACGACUCCAUAGCUCUUUUAUAGUGAUCUCCACGUUCCUGAAACCCUAGUCUCCAAGGCAACAUGCAUAUGGACAACUUCCAUAUCAAUAAGUACACUUUCCUUUUCUUGAAAUGUACUUAUUCCUCAAGGCAUAAACUUGCUCCCCAAGUUUAUCUCUUGCCUUUUUCUCCACGGUAUAAACUUGCUCCUCAAGUUUAUCCCACGCCAGCUCAGCAUCUUGCGUCCACAUGGUCUCUACCACUCCGCAUGCCUCCAGGUUCACUCUCUGACACACACUGCCUCAGCAACUACUUCAACGACUACGUCAAGACAUAAACCCUCAGUUUAUCCUUCUCCAUCUCAGCAUAUCUUGCAUCCACAUGGUAACCCACCACUCUGCAUGCCUUAUGUAGUAACGACUAAUGCAUCCAGCAUCAGUUACUUCGUCGUCUAGUUAGUCACGGAAGACCAUUGACAUCUACAAGCUCCACUUGCAUCUUCAAUCUCCCCCUUUUAGCUUUGUGUGCCGAUCAAGCACAAUAUCCUUCUGGUUCAACAACCACGUUUCCUCACCUGGAAACUUCCACACUCGAUAUGCCAUUCUCCCCCACGAGAGUUGCACUAUCUUCAUCUUCUUACAUAGAUAUGCUUUUCUCCCCCACGAGAUAUGCACCAUCUACAUCAGGACGUCCAUCACCAUGCUCUUCUCCCCCACGAGAUAUGCACUCCUUGGACCAGAACGUCACCACUUCUCCCCCUGCUUGAUUGCAUACUAAGCUAAAACAAAGAUGCUUAGAUGUCAAUGCAAACAUCACAGACACACCCGUCUGCUUCUUCAUGCGUAUUGCAUCAGGCCCUGACGCAUCCGUCGAGCUACUUCUUGAACUACCUCUCGAACCACUCUUUGUCUUGGCUCCUUAGGCUUUGGCUUCUUCCCCUCUGCUGUAAAUAUGGUAGGCUCCUCCCACCCAGUCUUCACUGCUAUCCACGCAGCAUCAUUGAUUCCUCGAACCAACAGCUUCAUGCGCACCUUCCAAUGACCAUACCGGCCAUCCUUCAACAUGAUUGUCUUCUGCAUAGAACAAUCGUGUACAUCUUCACCUUCAGGAUCACACCAGUAACUUAGGUGACCCGCUCUGAUACCACUUGAUAGUGCAAAGAUGACACCACAAUUGAGUAAUGCAGAAGAUAAAUCAAGAGACAAAAUAGAUACAAACAACCAACUAUGCUUUAUUAGAAAUCGCGUAAACAAUCUAUUACAAAACUUGCUUAUCAGCUUUUACACGCCAGUGUUAACACCCUAACACACGUUACUGACAAAUUCCUAAUCUACCCAAACAUGUCUCUUUCCCGUCAGUACUUCAGCAUCUGCUUCAGCACGACCCAAGAACACCCCUAAGGGAUUUUCACCAUUCCUCUAUAAUAAUAGCCAGUGUCUUAUGGAAUACAGACGACUACAUAGCUCUUUUAUAGUGAUCUCCACGUUCCUGAAACCCUAGUCUCCAAGGCAACAUGAAUAUGGACAACUUCCAUAUCAAUAAGUACACUUUUCUUUUCUUGAAAUGUACUUAUUCCUCAAGGCAUAAACUUGCUCCCCAAGUUUAUCUCUUGCCUCUUUCUCCACGGUAUAAACUUGCUCCCACGUCUGCUCAGCAUCUUGCGUCCACAUGGUCUCUACCACUCCGCAUGCCUCCUGGUUCACUCUCUGACACACACUGCCUCAGAAACUACUUCAACGACUACGUCAGGACAUAAACCCUCAGUUUAUCCUUCUCCAUCUCAGCAUAUCAUGCAUCCACAUGGUAACCCACCACUCUGCAUGCCUUAUGUAGUAACGACUAAUGCAUCCAGCAUCAGUGACUUCGUCGUCUAGUUAGUCACGGAAGACCAUUGACAUCUACAAGCUCCACUUGCAUCUUCACGUGGCAUCCCUAAAUCUUUCAUUAAAAAUUUGAGAACCGAAAAGAAAGGUAAACAUGUUUACAUGACUAUCUAUCACUAUACCAUCGUCCAACAAUAUCUAGAAUAUGCUUAUAAGGGUACUAUAUUUCAUGUUUACAUAUAUUCAUGGAUGAUUUUAGUAAAUAUAUUGAAAGAAAUCUAUUCCAUUUAUAAAUUCACUCAUAUGGAACGACUUAUAAAUGGAAUAAAAUAUUAUUCAAUACAAACCGAGACAACACUAACUUCUGGUACAUCUAUCCAUGCAGGGGUUCCAUACCAUGCGAUCAGUACUGUACUAUUUUAUUAUAAUAUAUGUAGCCUAUUUCAGAUAAAAAUAGUCCAGAUCCACAUGUUUAUACAUCAAUUCACAUUUACAAGACUUCUAUUUACCAACUCACUCAGAUAGAAUGACUUAGAAACAGAAGAAACCAUACUAUACAGACAGAAAACUCCUAACUUAUGGUUAUCAUAGGUUACUAAACAGAGUCUGACAUGAAAUGACAUAUGGAUGUUAUACUAUGUAAGUUUAAGUACUAUAGUAACUAGUAUACAAAGUAUAGUAACAAAUACUAUUCCGAAAUAGACAAAGCAAAAGGACAUUUGUGUUAUAAAAAACACUAGAUCAUUACUUGGAUUGCAAUUAUAAGGAUCUAAUUCGACAUACAACCGAGGACUUGUCAGAUGUGUACACUCGGUUCAAAUAGUUCCCACUUGAACAUAAUAGAAGACAAAAUCUCUUCAAAUUGAGAGAAAUGAAGCAUAUAAUCAAAACUGUAGAUGAAAAAAUUUCUAGUAAAACGAAGAGGUUAGGGUGAUUGAGGAAGAGUUGAUGAACCUCGCCGCGGCACCGUUUACAUUGUCGGUGACUCCGUAGAUUUCAGAUGCAGCGAAGCUUCCCAUCAGUAACCAAGCAAGCCGUUGCAGACGGGCAUCUCCUAAGCAAAGCUACUCCGGAAAUGAUCUUGGUGGUCACAUAGUGGAUAAAUAAUGGGAGAGAAACCACUCACUUUCUACAAAGUUACCAACAAAAAUUACUUUCAUAAGUUAUGUGAAUCCCCAAAGACCACGAUGUACUUGUGUCAGGUAAUUAUUAAUUUAGUUUAUUUUUUUGUUUGUAGAUUUCGCUGGUUGUGUGAAAGGCUAAAGUGACAAUAUUAUAUAAAGUACAUACAUUAUAUCGGUAUACUAGGGUAUUUGGACAUAGAAUGAAUUAUUAAUUGUUUGAUGGUCAUAUGGUGCAAUUUCCCUUCUUAUAUUAGCCCAUUUGAUUUUGAAGACGAGUCAAGUGAAGGCCAAAGGUUAAAGGCAAAAACAUGGCUUUAAAUAUUACAAGAUAUAACAAUUAGUAACAUUACUACAUGAUUACGCGAAAUGAGGAACACUCUGCUCCUUUUUAAAGAAUUUAUCAGGAUUAUACUUGGCUUUACUUGCAUCAACUUCUUCAAAGUCCCAAAAAUAUAUUUGGAUGAACCGUAGAUCUUAGCUUCAUCCACGUUUGUCUCGCCACUCGGAUUGUUUCCAGUGUCGAUGUCUCUGUAAUUUAUAAAUGAUUCUGUCUGGUUACUUGACACUUACGGUUCCGCAGCCUAUUAAAGCUCUUUAACAUUCAAACUUAAGUUAGUCUCUCUAUUUUUUGCUUGUGCCCAACGAUGUUUUUUCUGGCUAAAUAUCGCUUUAUACAUUCAUAUCUGCAGCUGAUGGGAAAUGUUCUCUGACCUGUGAUUUGAGCUUGAGUUUACUAUGGUUCAUGGUUGCUUGUUUGUAGAGGUAACAUCUAAAAUUUAAUUUAUAUACCUCAUAUAGAUUUAAAGAUCUAUAGCUGGAAUAGCUCAGUUGGUUAGAGCGUGUGGCUGUUAACCACAAGGUCGGAGGUUCGACCCCUCCUUCUAGCGUUAUUUUUUGAAAAAUAUUCCUACUCUCAUUAACUUUAUUAUGCACAGGAAUUGACUGAUAAGUGCCAAGGUGGAGCUGAACCAAUCAAGAAGCAAUGAUGACGUCGAGGUGACAACUUUAGGCGGGAAAGUUUCUUGAGUCUUGAGUUUUUUUUUUUUGGAUUGGAUGUGGUCACUGGGAAAGUCUCCAGCAGAUCGGUAAAAGCUGAAAUUUUUUGCGAGUUAGAACCGAGACUCGAUCGUGGUGAUGGCGUCGUCGGUACUGGUGACAGUGGGAGUAACAGUGGAAAUGUGAUUAUGUGGAUUUCUUUUUCUCGGAGACUAUGGCGAAGAACAAGAUCUUAAAGUUUCAUGUUAAGAUGUUCAUGUCCACAACUAAUCUAAUUACUAUUCGCGUUUUGGUGUACACGUCCACACUUAAUUUUGUUUAUACUUUUAAUAUAUAUAAUUUAUAUCACUUAAAACUGUUUAUAACUACAUAAUUUUAAUUUUUCACUUGUCAAAAUAUUUUUUUAAAAUAUUAAAAAUUAUUUUGAGAUCAACUAUACCAGAAGACUUCCAUGGACGUCGACGUACAAUAUCUUAGAAGGAUUUCCGGGGCUAUAUUCGUAAAAAUGAGUUAUGUUUUUUUGUUUGGUCACAAGGAACUAACUGUAAUUUCACAUGACUUUUUGGUUACCUUUACAUUUGAUUCAAGUUUGGAUACACUGUUGCAAUCAAAGUCAAGUUUUGAGUAAUAUUUGGCAAAUCCCUCAUAAAAGAAUCUUAUACCAUCACUUAUUUUUUUGUCAGCACCAUCACUUUAUAAAUAUAAAUAAAUAUUUAAAUAAAUAAGUAACUUUUAAAAAAAAAUUGAAAUUUUUUAUUCAAUUCAAACUUAAAAAAACUGUUUAACUAAAUAUAAAGCAUAAGUAAAUGUUGAUUAAAUCUAAAAGGUAUAAAUGUAUGCUACCUCUUUAAUGAUAGAAAUUUUUUUAUUUUUGUGUAUUAUAUUUAUAUUAAAAAAUUAGUGUUAUCGUAAAAAGUAUUUUAAAAUAAACUUUAGCAUUUUCAUAAAGUACUUUUGAUAUAUUUUUCAAGAAUUAUAAAAUUCAUAAAUAUAGUAUUAGAUUGUAAAAAUCACCACUUUCUUGUAUCAUUUUUUAUAAAGCUAUCACAUUAUAAAUCAUAAUAGUUUGUUAAUAAUCAAGUCUUUUCAAUUUAUUAUUUUAUUCAUAAGAAAUUACAUAAUGCCAGAUGGUAAGCAUACUUCGUAUAACAUCAUAUGAUUCAUAUUAUUUAAAAGUAAUUUUAAUUUGAAAAACACCUUUAAAUUGACACUGUAUUAUUUGUGAAUGACAGAAGGCAACAUCGUUUUGCCCAUUCGAGGAGAGAACUAUGAGACGACCCACCUUGAGUCCAAGCUCGUUCGGUGCUAACCCUCACUUCCUCAGCUUUAGCCCUUACCUUCCGUCCUUCUUCAUCCUCUUCGCCCAAAACCUUUCUCACCAAAGACGCCACUUCUUCUCGGCUGAUCACUCUCUUUGACGGUAACUCCGACGUACGAAUGGCUACACCGAUCUCUUCAGUCAGAAAUGCAGCAUUCAUCCAUUGCUCUGCGUAAAGAGGCCAAGCCACUAUUGGCACUCCUUGAGUUAAACUCUCUAACACAGAGCUCCAGCCGCAAUGAGACAAGAACCCACCGAUUGAUCCAUGGCUCAAGAUCUCAACUUGUGGUGCCCAUUGGGUGACCACAAGACCCAUACCACGUGUGCGAUCCAAGAAACCUUCCGGUAGGCCGACACUUACCAGAUCAUCAUCGUUCGAGCUUUCACCUAGGUAAGAAGCAGGCUUACGCAGAACCCACAUAAACCUUUGACCACUUAACUCUAAUCCACAUGCAAGUUCUAUCGUUUGCUCUAAAGACAGCGUUCCACCACUGCCUAAACACAAAUACAAUACUGACCUUUCCCGUUGUUUGUCUAACCACUCGAAUAUACUAUUAGGCUUUUUAGUAGGCCCAUUAGGCCUAACAAUUGGCCCGAUAGCAUAAACCGGUACUUUCAUAACCCGGCUCAAUUCUCCGUCCUCCAUAAGCGCGGCUAGAGUAUUUCCUUGUAGUUCCUCCCAAGUAUUCACCAAAACACCAUCGCUCAUAGUCAUAGGUAUCUCCUCGCCACACCGUACACACUCUCGGUAGUGUCGGUUGGACCGGUCUAGCAUUGUUUCCAUGAUGUCAUCCGCUCCAACCGGUCUACAACCUGGAAUUUUCAUAGGCUCUUUGAUAUCAAUGUAUUCCCCUUCCACAACCUUAUCCAAUACGGGCAAGUACACCAACACUGCCAAGAACCACGCGUGGGAAGCGACGUACACGUACUUAGCCAUGCCGACAUCAUCGGCAAUGGACAUCAUUCCUGUACCAAGAAAGUCAACGAUCAUGACCGUCGGUUUUUGUGUCAUUAAUUUGAUGGCGUCUUGAACCACGGGCUUUGUGGCUCGCAUCUUUUCUACAAUUUUAGUGAACACCGUCGCAUCUGGCUCAACGAAGUAGUCUAUAUCAACCGAGGGUAAUUCUGUAACUUCACAUGUCCCUCUAGCAACAACUGCGCGUAUUGCCUCGGUUUCGGCCAGGGAGGAGGAACCGGAGGUUACUGCGAGAACUGUAACGCGGAAGUUGAGUACAGAGGAGAGCCGGUUUCCAAGUUCGAGGAUAGGGAUGAGAUGGCCUAAGCCAGGGCUAGCGACUAGAAGCGCGUGCGGCUGCUCCAUGACCUAAUCAUUAGAAAGUUUAAUUAAAAUGAUUACGAAAACCGAAAGAAAACGUUAUAGUAAAAGGGCGUUAAUUACGUGAGAGAUCCUUGCGGAUGUACGGACUUACCUUUUCCUUAUAUUAGAAGUUGUUUCCUGCUUGUCAAUGGCGGUGCAUGAACUGGGAUAAGACCAUAGACUAUCGAUAUAUACGGGCUCAUAUGAGAUAUAGAGUAUUUAUUACUGAUUUUAAUUUAGAGAAUUUGUUUUUUUUAAAACGGCACAACUGCUAUACUAUCUAUCUCUUAAAAUGCAAAACCGUGGAUUGAAUCCGAUAUGGGUUACUGACAAGUGACGUACAUGUUAAUUCUUACCCAUAUGACCCAACGUAAUGUUAAAGAGACGUGAAACUUAAGGGGCAUACGGACUUUUGGACUGAAGCUUAACUUUGUAGACAAAAAGUUAAAAUAACCCAAGAAAAUCUACGCGUACCGAUGUUUCCGGAUUUGUCCAGAGCAAGAAGAAGAAACAAAGAAAGACUCAAUCACUCGGCUUCAUUAUCAUACUCUUUCGGUCACAUAAGCAGUGAGUGACGAUGACGUGCGCUUGCAGCCAGCAUACAUGUCUUCUCAGUUCUCAUAAUGCUACUCGUGUUUCCAACAGAUCAACGCACCCCACAAAACAACGACCACUUAUUUAAGGUUUUUUUGUUUAUAUAUUUAUUAGUUAGACUGUUAAAAGAUAAUGCAUAUACAAUACAUUUAAAAAUAGAAAACAUCAAAUAACAUAACAAAAAUGACUAAGAUCAUGAUUAGUGGUGAGAGACUCCACAAAUCUCAUAAAUUUUUAAAAAUAAAACUGAUUACAUAAUUAUGUUUUAACUAAAAUGAAUCACUAAAGAAUUGACAUGUGUCAAUAGAGUACUUCAAGAUGGUGUCAAAUUUUUCUUUACGAAGGGACUCUAUCUUGUAUCUCUCUUCUUUUAUAUUUUUUUAUUGUUAGAACCUGUCCUAGAAAAUCAUGUAGAAACUACCAAUGUUAAUGGCCUAAUUAAAGACAACAAUACAUCGUCAAAUGAAGUAAAAUUUGAAGAUAAAAUUCCUUCCGAAAUCUUUUUAUCAAUAAAAUAUCAAUUCUAUUAAUUUUUUUGCGAACUUCGAAUCUUGGUCACAUCAGAAACACUAAUUUUCUUUGUUAUAUUACAUUGAUCUCAUCCAAAACUAAAGCUAUAACUAUUUUUAGUAUAGAAUCCAAAGUAUUCAACCGUAAAAUUUAAAAUCUAGAAAACCAAUUUUCAACGAUUGUAAAAGUAUUGCCAUAUAACAAAAGAGAAUAAACUUUCUUUCUAUACUUUCGUUUUUCCAUGGAGAUUUCCAUUAUAUCAACGACAUUAUAUUUAUCCAUAUUUUGAUACUAAAUAUAUUGUAUCAAAAUAUAGAUUUUAAAAGAUUCUUCAGCCAUCUCUGAAGUUGUUCUUCUACUCAUGAUCUAACAUAUAGAUUUUUCAACAAGUCUUGUAAUUUGUUUUGUUCCCAAAUUCUUCGGCUAAGUCACCAUUUACAGCGACGAAUAAUAUCAUGUAAUCGAUAUUUGACCAAAUUUUGUUAAAAUGACAUCAUAAUAGACCUUUCCGCCACGAAGAUAAAGAAUAUCUGAACGGGACUGCCGUAGAAUUGUCCCACACCGACAACAUGAUAGAAUUCUAAUAACCGGUAUAUACCAAAUGGUCAUGUGUCAAACAGUGGCGGAUCCAGACCGGAUAUUUGACGGGGGCACAUAAUUAAUAAAUAUAUUUAAAAUUAUUUUUAUAUAUAGUAUAAUUAAAUAAUAAUUUGUUAAAAAUAUUGUAAGCUAACUAUAAUCUGUGAAAAUAAUUUACACUAACUUUUUGAACACAUGAAACAUUUUUAUAAAAUAACUUUAAGAAUUCUUACACUUCUUCACAAAUGUUACUAAUCACAAUAAUUCUGUUACACAAAAAUAAUUUGAAAAUAUAUAGAAAAGUAACCUUGAAGUUUACAUAUA
rnacentral:lncRNA from 1 species